rnacentral:lncRNA from 1 species
AAGAAAAAACUGUCAAAUUCAUAAGAAAUAUAAAUAAGAAACCAGCUUGCAUCUUAGAGCCCCCAAGCUCUAGUUUCUACAUUUCUUCUGAAACGUCUGAUCCUUUACUAUUUUUCGUGUCAAGGUGGGUGUUAUUAACUCAACCAAGGAACUCAUAGAUUCAGACAACGGAACACAAGCAGUACCAGUUAAUUUAAAACUAUCUCCAUGGUUUCGAAUGGUCCGAUUAAGCUUUAUAGCGCUUUAACUUGUUCCAUAUUUGUCGCUUGAACCCCGCACUUUGGGAAUAAACACUUCUUUUCCAACCCCAUAAUUUCCUCCGUCCCCUAAUACUUGACCUUUCUUAGAACUAGGAGCUUCCUUAAAAACUAUAGUCGAGUGCUUUCCAAGAUCUAAAACAUUUCUAUCUAAAACCACCACGACUCCUUCUGAUUCUUCAAAGGUGGGAUUGAAGUGUGUAAUCGUCAUAUCGGAAUUACUUGAAGAAUUGGAAAACUUUGAAGGGUCACUAAAUGAAUUUUCCAAUUGUUUACUAACACCCAAAUCUGUCACUGCCAAUUCCCGCUUCAUUAUGCUACAAUUUUGGCCCAGAAAUAUUUCCAAACAGACUUUUCAAGUGGGUUCUUGGCCGAAGGCAACUCAUCAGAAGAAGGCCCAGCCAUAAUUUUAUCUGGCCCACCAACUUUGGUCUGCCAUUUGGCCAAAGCCUUAGUCAUCUGCCCAACAGACCUCAAGCCCAUAUCCGUUUCUUCUUGUGUUUUUGGCCUAAAUCUGCUAUCCCCUUUAAACUGAAACUCUCCUAAUUUGGACUUACAGCUUGCACCAUUUGUGCGAGAACUAGGGCCUCCACUAACCUUGCUUUGGUUGAUAAUUUCCUUUAUUUUUCCAAAUGUCACUUCAGGCCUGAAGCCCGCUUCUAGAAUUCCACUGCCCACAUCAAUAUUUGAGUGCCCCCAAUUACCAGCAAUAGCACUCUUAAAACCUUCCUUACUUUUUCUUCAAAUUUGUGCAGCCAUUUUUCCAUUACCUUUUAAUUUUUCACCUUCACCCACCAAAAUCAUAUAAUCCAUCUCAUCUUUCCUUAUUUCAAGAUUCUCCAAUCCCUUCAAUGCCAAAAAUCUUGAUCUCAAAAUUUCCUUUUCUGUAUCUCUCUCCCUCCGAUUUCGUAAAUCCCUUAGUAACCGACGGGAUUUCUACUCCACCACCAUCUAAGGUUCGAACAUCGGUCCCUCACCACUGAUCAUCGAUUCCGUUAAAUCUGAAUUACCACUUAUUUUUCUUGUGUCAUUUCCUUUAUCAGUCGCUGACGAAUGACACAUCUCCUUCAGAUGGCCAUAUUUUCCAUACAAAAAACAAAUGGUUGGUAGAGCCUCAUAUUCAACCCGUUGUAGUUCUCCAUUAACAAGCACUUAAGAAGCCAAGGGUUUGUAAAGAUAAACGAAGACGGUCAUUCUCGCAAACCGACCCCUGGUUUUGCUAUCUAUAUUGAAGUCAAGUUUGACCACUUUGCCCACCAACCCUCCAACUUCUUUUAAAAAAUCUCGGGAGGCCCGACAGCCUGAUCUACGCCAACACCAUACUUGGGUAAGGUUUCUUGGGAUUAAAAGAUUUUGUCCAUGGUUGAACAGUGAGGUAUUGGCCAUUUAUGAUCUAUGGUCCUUGCAAAAGGGCUGUGUUGUAAUCCUCGACACACUGAAGUUCAGCCAGGAAGUAACCGUUCUCAAUAUCUACCAAAUGGAACAGUUUUGAUGGGAACCACAAACUACUGAUUUGAUUAUACAAUGCACCACUAUUUCGGCCCAACAGCUUCAAAACCACUAUUGCUUCCAUAUCCUCGAUCAAAAUUUGUUGUAUACAAUCCGAAAACUCUAUAGUCGGAAUACCAUUGACAAUCUUUUAUAACAUCGCCUUCUAGGAAUUCGAAACCUUCAGUGCAUUCGACUUUAGAAGAUCGAGACCCUUCUUCUUGAUUCAGAACCCCUUUCUCCAAUAACAUUUGUUUCCAGGAAACCUUUGGUUGCGAGUCCAAGUCCACUACCAUCUCAACAUCCGCUUCACCAUCCCUCUCUUUAAAUCCUACAUUUUUCGUUUCCCGAUCAUCAGCCGACCAAGAUUCAGUGGCCUGAGCAAUUUCCAGUGAAGAAACCAUGAAAGAAAAAAAUUUAGUUCAAAAACGAAUCUUUUUUCUUUUUUUGUUAUUAUUCCAGAAAUGGUCAUUUAAAUUAUGUUUUUGUCACCAAAAUUUAACUUGUUAGUGUUAUCAAUUUGUAAUAUUUUCAUCAUUGAAUCAUUAAUUGCAAUCAUCAUUUUAAACAAAAGAAAAUUUAAGUUAAACAUUUUCUUGAGUAAUUUAAUUAUUUAACUUUCUUUUUUUCUUUUCGCAAAAUCUUCAACGCUUUUAACCCCAAACCAAUUGCUUCUUCAAAAUCUCAGGAUAUUCGCCGUUGUUAGAUUGAUUUAUGGAGAAAUAGAGAAAGGCUUUUUAUUAUUAUUUAAAAAUAGAUAAAUCAUAAAAGCUGUGGUGAAUCUGCCAUUACCAAUAGUAGCAAAUAAGGCUACCCUUAAAUUUCACUCCUAAAAAUAACAAUAGAUUAAUGGUAUAAUUUAACCUCAUAUUAACUCAUCAUUAUAUCAUUAACGACAAUUAAACGAGUAAAUGAUCAAAAAAAUAAUACUAAUAACAGCAAUGUAACAAAUUAAAGUUGGAUAGUUAAAGCAUAAUCUAAACCAAUGACCGUUUCUGUAGUUUAACCUUUUUCUUUUUCUGGCUAGCCUAGCACACAUAGUUUCAACCGACUAAAAGUAAAAUUUGAAUUGUGGCUAAAUUAUUAAAUGAGCCCUUGAACUUUGUUAUUUUUUAGAUAAAACCCUUGUAUUCUUAUUGUUAUCAAGCGAGCUUUUAAACUUUAAUUUGUAUUCAAAUAAGCUUUUAAACUUAGCUGAAUUUAUAGAAAAUGUCGAUUUUUUAAAAUCUAAAUCGGAUUAGGCCAUUUUUUUUUAGUAUUUGUGGGAUUAGAUAGAUUUUUGAAAACGAGUUGAGCUGAAUUGGACGCGCUUUCCUGCUUUGUCAGUAAAGCGCUUCCAACGGGAAGCAUUAUCCCUAAUGGGCGAAAUCCAACAGUUACUUCCCAACGGCUAAUUCACACCCCCAAACUUCCUAACGGCUAAUUCACACCCCCAACACUAAAAAAAACUUAUUUAAAACCCCUCAAUUCUAUUUUUUUUCAAUUAACUCUUUAUUCUCACUCAAUUCUCUCUAAAUUCUCUCAAUUUUUAUUAAAAUUAUAUUAAGGUUUUUUAUUUAAUUUUGUAUUAUGAAAAUUAAUCAUUUUUUUAAUUCUUAAUGACCAAUUCUCUUAUUCAUUUGAGUAACAAGCACAUUUUGACCUUCCAAGUGAAAAUGGUAGGAAAGUAUUUAUAUUAUUUUUAAUCUAAUUUAAUUUCAUUAUUAAGUUAUAUUGAAAUUUAAAAUUUUGUAUUUUUUUUUACAAUUAGAUGGAAUAUCAGAUUUUGGAGACAUAUUUUGCAAUCUAUCCGCUCCUCCGUCGACUUUAAUUGAACCAUACUUGAGAGACGUAAGAUUCUUUCACGUGGCCUGUACGAUUGGGGAUGUAAAUUGGACCUCACAUUUGUUAACACGUUGGUGGAAAGAUGGAGAUCCAAGACACACACAUUUCAUCUUCCAUGUAGCGAGUGUACAAUCACACUAGAGGACGUGCAACUACAGCUCGGGUUACCAGUGGAUGGACCAGUAGUGACAGACUCAGUUGUCGCUACCGAUUGGAAAGUCUUAUGCAACCAACUGUUAAGGAAGGUUUCGGACAGAAUCUAUAGUGCCCGGAUAGACAUAAAUUGGUUCAAAAUAAAUUUCGAUGAGCUCGAUGAAAGUCGAGUCCACUUGAAAGGGAAUAAUACGCUCGGACAUACAUCCUUAGGAUAAUCGGGGGUCUUCUAAUACCCAACAAAUUGUGAAAUCUUGUACAUUUAAGGUGGCUGGUACAACUUGUGGACUUAAAAGGAGCGAGCCAACUAAUUUAGGGAUAAGUGGUGUUGGCGACGUUGUACCGAGAGAUGUUUCGGGCGAUGCAACCAAAAAAAAUUAAAAUCGGUGGUUGCCUGCUCCUACUGCUAUCAUGCACAUGGUAUCGACUGCCAUUUUUACGUCUUCAAGUUGACUACCCUUAUACAUUCCCACUCUUAACAAGGUAAAAUUCACUAGAUAAUAUAUUUACCAUAAUAAAAUUAUUUAAAAUUUAAAUUAUUGUAUUAACAUAUUAUUUCAAUAGGUGAAACCGUAGGUCGAGUUAUGUGGGACUACCGGAAGAGCUUCAAGAUAUACAACUCCUAUUAGAUCAAUGAUCGGAAGCUGAUGUUAGUAUUUCUAAAAUUUUAAAUAUAUAAUAUUGAUGCAAGGAUUUAAGAAUUAUUAGUAAGAACAUAAUUGAAAUUAUUAUUUUGUACUAGAGUUUGAAUGGACACUAUACUCCGAUCCGAGAAUUCAAGCAUGCAUCCUGUUCGAAUUCUUGGUGAAUCCCAACAUCUGGCAUGUAAAGGUGAUAUUGAUAGUUUACGUUACAGUAGAAAUGUACGAAUUUAAUCGAGUUAUGCGUUAAUUUGGGUUUAGGCAAACGAUUUCGCCACCACCCUAAGACAUUAGAGACGUGCACAAGAUCGAUUUGCAGGGGAGAACUGAGGAAGAUUAGGCUAAAUUCCACAAACAAUAUAUCAAUAUUUAGAAGUAUAGGUACAACUUUUUACCUAAUUGUGAAUGCAUUAUCACUCAUGAAUUAGCUUUUGAUCCAUCGUACAUGCCAUGGUUUAGACACCAUGGCAAACCAUAUAUAUUAUCAGAGACAGGUGAAUUAGUAGAACUUGAAGAAGAUAUUAUAGGCAUUGCCCUAAAUUUGGAAUCAAAUAAUGUUGGUGUUGUAUUAAUGGAUGACGGUUUGAUGAUACAAGAAGGAAGUUAUGUAAAAGAAACAGGAAAAUUUGCUUAGAUACUAGUGAGUGAGGAUUAUUUGGGUCAUGUUAUAAACGCCACUGCUAAGCCUAUUGACGGUCGGGGUGAAAUUUCAGCUUCUAAAUCUCGGUUAAUUGAAUGUCCUACCCUAGAUAUUAUUUUGAGACAUUUUGUUUACGAGCCUCUUCAAACAAGACUUAUUGCUAUUGAUUCAGUGAUCCCUAUAGGACGUGGUCAGCGAGAAUUAAUUAUUGGGGAUAGAUAGACUGGUAAUGUAACACCCCUUACCCGUAUCCAACACCGGAAUAAGGUACGAGGCAUUACUAAAACACAUACACUUGUAAACGUAUUUAACCGAGUUAUAAAAUUUCAUCUAAAUUAAAACUUUCAAAAUAAUUAACAUGCUUCUAUGACUUUUCACAAUAUAUCCUCAAAAUAUUAUAAUCAUAAUAAUUAGGGCCUACGAGACCCGAUACAUAUAAUCAUAAUAAUUAGGGCCUACGAGACCCGAUACAUACUCAUGCAAGUCAAUGCUUCAUUCUCAUUCCAUUCAAUUCGGAAUUUCUCAUGCUCACAAUUUAAAUUAUAUCACUAGCAAUUUCCAUUUAAUUCACGUACAACUCAAUGACAGUAAGUUCAACACUAAUACAUACUUACCAUUUAAAUCAACGUUUAUCGAUUAUACCAUUCAAUAACACAUUUAUGAAAUUCUCAAUUUUGCAAUGAAAAUGUCACUUUAAAAUAACAACAUCAUCCUGGUAUAAAUACACUACCACUUAACCAUUUACUUUAAUUCUUUUGUGCCCAUUUGUCGCUUACCAUCCUUAAUCAAAUUAGGGAACGGUUACGGAAAAUUGAGUACUUCACUUCCACUUUGCCAUAGUAUAACUAUGGUCUUACUUAUGAUCACUUAUCACUUGUCCUUAAUCAGAUAAGUGUAGCUAGGCUACCACUUAUCACUUUGUCACUGAUCAGAAGUACUCAAAUCUGGCAUUCCGCUCAAUUUGAUCAUUUAUUCGGUUUUCGCAUUUUUAUUUUAUUCUCAUUUCAACAAUAAAUAUAUCUCAUCAUACAUUAUAUAAUUCAUGAAAUUAACAUUUAAUCAUUAAUUUUCAGCCAUAUGAACUUACUAUUUCAUUACCUUUCCACACUCGUUUCUUAUGCACAUCACACAAGAUAUAAACAUAUCAUUCAACCAUAGUCGCAAACUAGUACAGUGAAACAUAAUUCUUUUUGGAAAUAAUCACAUAAUAAACCAUUUCACUAAAGAUUUCAUAAUUUAAACCUUACCAUCCCUUUCAUGAUCACAAUAUUUAUUCAUAUAUCAAACUUUCCAACAUGUGUUAAUUCAAUACCCAUUCAUGACAUUACUUCAUGCCAAAUCAUAUACCAAAAAUACAAUACACACGUACUAUAAACUUUAUUUUCCCACACUAACUUAAACCAUGACCAAUACUGCACAAAUAUAUGCAUCAUUUCUAUUUCAUCGUUUAUCAAUUAUAAUUAAGCAUAUGACCAAUUAUACACAAAUCAUUCAUAUAUUUCCCAAUUUUUCCUCCUCCUCCUCUCCAUUCCACAUCCUUAAUGUGUAUAACACACUUAAACAACACUAGCUAUAAUUUCACUAUUCACCCACAUGUAUAUUCAAAGCUGCUUAUCCAAGUCAGAGUCACUAAAUUAUUUUUAUCCGGAGCUACAAAGAUCCAAAUUAAGAUCUGUUAAUUUUCCCUGAAACUAGACUCACAUACCUUCUUACUAUAAAAUUUGCAGAAUUUUUGGUUCAUCCAAAUAGUAUAGUUUAUUCUUUAAGAUUUCCCUUAUUUCGCUGUCUGAUAGUUCCGACCACUCUUCACUAAAAAUGAAUUAUCUAAUUGUACAGAAUUCGGAUGAUGUUUCCGUUUAUUUCCUUUGAAAAUAGACUCAUUAAGGAUUCUAAUCAUAUAAAUUAUAACUCAUAAUUAUUUUUAUUUAAUUUUUUAUGAUUUUCCAAAGUUAGAACAGGGGAACCCAAAAUCAUUCUGACAUUGUCUCACAAAAUUUAUUAUAUCUCAUGAUUUUCAAUUCCAUUGCUUACACCGUUUCUUCUAUGAGAAACUAGACUCAAUGAGCUUUAUUUCAUAUUUUAUUCACCCUCUAAUUCAAUUCCCACAGCAUUCCCUCGCUCCUGAUACCAGAGAUGCUUUGGUUUAAUAUAAUAUGUAUCGUGAACGACACAUCUUAAUCAUUUAUGAUGAUCUUUCCAAUCAAGCACAAGCUUAUCGCCAAAUGUCUCUUCUACUACAAAGAUCGCUGGGUCGCGAGGUGUUGGCAACUUUUUUCGAGAAGACCAUAAUGACCACCUAGGAAUCCAAGGUCUAAAGUAGGUGCCAGGGCGGGUCCAUUAUCGACACCAACACAACAAGAGGCACCAUCGUCUGCACCACCUCUCAAUCAGUAUGGCUCGACUUAUUUUGGUUCAGGUAUGUUAUUUGCAGCACCUUUGUUCCAUGUUUCUACACCUUUUACAGGUAUAGGGUUUAUUGCACCACCUCUAUCCCCAACAUAUUACAGUCUGAUGACUUCAACGUAUCCGUGAUGACUUUUGUGCCACUAAAAAAAUUUCCACCAUAUUUUACACCACCAGUGUUUGGGACACCAUACACUUAUACAUUAUUAGUGUCGCAAACACAUCGGGCAUCAUUGUUCUACCAAGUUGGAUCAUAUUUGCAAGCACUUGAUCCUAGAACGAAGGAGAGACAAUGGCAACGUAAGAGCACACCGCACUCAACAGCGGAUGAAUGAGAUGAAGAUGAAUGUGAAGAAGAAAUCUAACUCGCAACUAACGAAGAUGAAGAAGAGGAUGAAAAGUUGAGACUACAACUUGAGCAAAGAAUAAAUUUGUCUCGCAACUAAUGCCCACCCGGUUGUGACACACAUUUGGCUCUACAAUGCCGAUGAUUUUUUUGCACUUCUCAUGUAAAUCUUAUAACAACCCGUUUUUAGUGAAGUCGGAAUAAUGGUUUCGGGACCACAAAUCUGAUUUAGAAAGAAAAAUUAUUUUAAUAGUACUGCAUGGUCUGCAAUAUGAUAGGAAUGACGUAUGAAAAUUUUGUUAAGAAAAUUUUACCAAUUACAUGUUUAAUUGAUAAAAGAACCAAAUUGCAUAAAAUGUAAAAGUUGAUUCUAGUAGCUAGAGGGAUUAAAUAGUUAUGGAGUUCAAAAUUUGAGGUCCUUAUAAGGCAAAUAGAUCAUUAAGAGAAGUUAGUAGAUAUUUAUGAUGAUUCAUCCAUGGAAAUUUAAAAAAAGAAAAGGACUAAAUUGGAAAGUAGAAAAAUAAAAGAUGAUAAUUAAUUAAAAGACAAAAUAUCAUCUUCCCCAAAUUUUCUAUAGAAACCCUAGCUAAGAGAAAAAAAUUCAAGCAAGCUUAAUUGGGUAAGUAAUUUUGUUUUUUUUUUAGAAAUUUUUAUAUUUCCGAGAUCGUAAUAACCUAAUCUAGUUAAUUUUGGGAUCAAUUUGCAAAGUUAUCAAAGUAUUAAAAUUUUUCCAUGGAUGAAUAUGCUGAAAAUUUGAAAUUCAUGGUAGAAAAUGAAAUGUUGUUGAUAGAUAAACAACUUUUGUAAAUGAAAUUUUCAUGAAAUUGUGAUUUUAGGACUAAAUUGAAAAGAUGUAAAAUUUAUGAAAAAUUUAUGAAAUUUGUGAAAUACAUGGGUUGUAAGUUUUAGAUGAAAAAAAAUUCGGUUAGGCUUGGAAUAAGGAUUAAAUUGCAUGAAUUUCAUUUUCCGAGCCUAGGGACGAAAUUAGAAUUAAUUAAAAGUAUAGGGGCAAAAUGAUACUUUUGCCUAAGAUGUAAACUAGAUUGAAUUGAAUAUGAAAUAUGUUAAAUUAAUGUUAAAUUCAUUUAUAUAGAUCCAGAAAAAUCAAAUAAGGAGUUACAUCGAGGAAAAGAAAAAGUGUCAGAUUAGUAGAAAAUCAUAUACGAGCAACUAACGAGGUAAGUUCGUGUAACUAAAUUAUGUAUAUUAAUAUGUUUGAACUAAAUAUUGUAUAUGUGAAUUGUAUAAAUGUCUUAUGUAUGAAAUUGAUUACAUGUUUAAUAAUACCCGUUAAGUAAUAAGUCCCGUUUGAAUAAAUGAAAUUCGAUGGAUACAGGAUUCCCCGUAUUGGUUGUGGUCCUGCAAUGUUGCUGACACACCAUAACUUGAAAGAGCAUCCUGUUAUAAGCCCUCUCGAGCUUUAAGUUAUAUGGUUCCUGCGAGCAUACUGAUCGAUAUUGAUCAUGCAUGUGUUUCGGACAAACCACAGCUCUUUAUGAGCGUCCCAAUAUAUGGCUCUUAAUGAGCUUCCUGAUAUGGCUUGCUUGAAGUUCCUAAUAUAUGGCUAUCUGGAGCUUCCUGAUAAUAGCUCUUCGGAGUUACCUAUUAAGCUCACAUGAGCUUUUUGUUUCAAACUCUUAUGAGUUUCCUGUUAUAGCCCGGAUAAGUUUCUUGUUAUAUAGCUCACAUGAGCUUCCUGUUAUAUGGCUCGAGAGAGUGUUUCCUGAUUAUGUACUCUAAUGAGUAUCCCUGAAUAUGAAUUGACGGAUUACGAUUUUGUACACUUUAAGUAUACUACAUAUGUAUCCAUCGAUAUUUCAAAUAAAUUCAACGGGCAAAGUUCUGACAUGGGCCAAACUGAACUUGAGAUGAUUUGUUAUGAAAAUGUACAUGUUAUAUAGAAAUAUGAUAAGAAAAAGUAUAUGAAUAGAAAAGUUAUUAUAUGAUGAGCUCAUUUAUGUUUCUUGACAAUUGUGUGAAUUACAAUGACUAACAUGUUUGAUGAAGUUGGGUGUUUAGGCUAUUAGCCAAAUUUCUUAGAUGCAUUUUGUAUGUUUACUUUAAUGGAAAUGAAUGGUAAGUUAAAUUUCUAGUUAUACGAACUUACUAAGCAUUAAAUGUUUACUUUGUUUUAUUUUCUCUGUUUUAUAGUACUCGAAAGCUCGUAAAGGUUGGAAGCGGGUCGGAGCAUCAUCACAGUAUCCCUCAGCUCAUUUUCGUAUAAUUAGAAAACUAAAUUAAAUUAUAAUGGCAUGUAUAAGUUAUUUAGCCAAUGUUGGCAUGAUAAUGUUUGGUUGUAACUAGUCAUUGGAAUGGUUAGUGUUAGACAUAUUUUGUUGUAAUUAUAUAAGGCCUUAUUGUGCUUGAUGUGUGUAGUGAAAUGGUUGAAUGGUAGAAGUUACAUAAGUAUAUUAAAGGUUGCAUGAAUUGGUAAAAUAUACUAUUAUGUUUAUAGGGUCAAUUAGAUAAGAUUGAAUACUUGGAAAUAUUGGAUGUUAUGACAUGAAUUGAGAUUGAGAUUGGCUUGAAUUGAAGGUCUUAUUGUGACUUGUAAUGGUGCAAAAUUGGUUGGUUAGGUGAUGCCAUGCUGGGUGAGAAAUGUGGCCUUAAAAAUGACCUAUUUUCAUCCACACGGGUGGAGACAAAGGCAUGUGUCUCAGCGAUGUGUGACACACGGCCUAGUACAUGGGCGUAUGUUUUGGCUGUGUGUCCCCCGUAUCUUAAAAUUUCAAAACAGAAUGCUUAGGUAUUUUCACACGGGCAGAGACACGGGCGUGUGUCUCAGCCGUGUGUGGCACAUGGCCUGGCACAAGGGCGUGUGACUUGGCCGUGUGAACCUUGCACCUUAAUUAUGCAAGUUAGUAUGCUCACAUAGCCUAGCACAGGGGCAUGUGGCUUGGCCGUGUAACCAAGUCAGUAUACCCCUCUAAAUUGGACAUGGCUUGACCACACGGGCGUGUGUCCCCUACACAUAAGGAAAAUUUUGAAAUUUUGUGAAAAAUUCUCUGAGUUCUCAAUUUAGUCUCGAUUUGUUUCUAUUGCAUAAUUUAGACCUCGAGGAUCCAUUUAAGGGACAAUAUAAUUGAAUAUGUUUAGUUUUGGAUAUGAAUAGUAAUUGAUAUGAAUUAACUGUAUUUGUUCUGCAAAUUUUGGUAAUGCUCUAUAACCCUAUUCCGGCGAUGGAUACGAGUUAGGGGUGUUACAAUCUUAAUUGUAAAACUAAGUUUUAUUCAAUCAUUUUGUACAGAUAUUAGAAAUGAAAUAUUUUUAAAGUAAUAUUGUUUUUGUGUCGAAAUGGAUAUUAUAAAUCUGUAUGGAUAGUAUAUCGGUAUUUAAAAAUUACCAAAAAAUGAUAAUCACAAAAAAUCAAUAAAUUGUCUAUAAAAAAUUAAUAAAUCAGCUAAUAAUGUAUUGUCCUCAAAGUAUCCUCCAAGUGUGGACAUGAUGACCUUGUAUGCCCUAGGUUCCUACAGUAAUCGCAUAAUCUCGAUUGGUUUGUCCUCUCCCGAAUAUCUAUAUUGUUGCGUAUUCAAGUAGAAUUGAUUAACCUUUUGGGUGGCGACGAAAUGAAUAAUUCGGUACCAACUUGAAUGAAGCGCUCGAUACCGGAGGAUACAUAUCUGGGACCAGUAGGAAUUCAUAGUUCCACAUGUUAUGUAUAUGUUCUAGUUUGUACACUUCGUCCACAAAGCUCAUGAGAUCCAAACGUACCGAUAAACAUGCUGCAAUUGUAUAGGCGCAUGGAUAACAGAGUGCGUCAAAUCUCCCCUAGUCGUUGGUCUGUCGUCUUAGGUUUACAUGGUACGCUCCCCCGAAAAUACCUUGGUCCAGUCUUUUGAACUCUUUAACCCAAAAUGAUAGAUUUGGAUGCGAGUAAAACAUAGAAUGCAUACUAGUGGCUUGUUCUGCAUUGUCCCUAAUUUCUUUCACAACAGACUCGCAGCAAACGUGACCGCCCUUCAUUUGUCCAACUGGGCGCUUUUAGUCCACUUUACUCAAACGCACCUUGUUGGGUGUGUUUUUACUCUCCCAUUGUCAACCCUGAAAAGUUUUCCUAAUAUUUUUGCAAGCCAUGCUUCUGCAAAUAAAAUAUCUCGAGAUUCCCAUAUAAUAUUUUCAGGGCACAUGAGUAGCUUUUGCAUAUCUACUCGUUCCCAUUGUCAACCCCCUUCACAAUGUCUACCUCAAGCACGAACACAAUUAACAAUUCAAUCGAUUAAUCAAUUAAUUGUACAAUUCAAUUGAAUACGAUUUUAAUUAGAUAAUGUGUACAUAAAAGUAAAGUUUUAAUAUUAAUACAUAGACUGAUUUAUUUUGUCCUAUUUUUAUUUUUAUUUAUUAUUAUGAUGUUUACUUCAAAUAGUUAAUAUUGAUGAUUACUUUGAUAAAAAAAAUUACAUGAAUUUUUAAACAAAAUACAAUUCUGACAAAAAAAAAACUUUUGCAUGAUGUGUUGGAAUAAUGUUUUUAAAAAUUCAACAUUAGCUACCAAAUUAUCUAUUAAAUUUAUGUCCAUUGGAAUAUCUAUUUUUUGCUACAUGAUCACCAUAUAUUUAACAGAAAAAAAAAUAAAAAUAUCCCUCUAGUGAAUUUAAUAAAUUUUUUUAUUGGUGUUAAGAAUUGAAGUUGAAUUGGUAAAUUCAAAAACUCGACUUUAAACCCUAAACCCAUUAAAAUGAGUAAAACCCUAAACCUUAACGUGCAUACUAAAACCUUAAAAAACACCCUAAAUAGGUUUAGGAGAGAGAAUGAGUUCCAUAAAUUUUUAAAAAUCGGCCUAAUCCCACAAAUUUAAAAACAAAAGCCUAAUCCGAUAAAUAUUUAAAAAAACUCAGCAUUUUCUGUUAAUUCAGCCUUUACACUGAAUAAACACUCAAAUAAGUCCUUAAACUUCAAUUUAUUUUUAAAUGAAAUUCUUAAUAUAAAUUGAUAUUUCAUUUGAAAUAAUGCUAAUUUAAAUACAAAUCAAAAUAUAGAAACUUAUUUGAGUAAAUUAUAUAUUAUUUUUAUGUUAUAAUCAUGUAUAAAUAUAUAAAUUUUUGUAUGAAUUUUAAGAUAUUUAUGUACUUUUUAUGUUAUUUUUAUAUGCAUUCUACAGUAUGUUUUAUUUUUCUUAAUUUUUUUAUUGUACAGUAACAUUGCCUUCAAAUUUUGAAAUUUUAUAUUUUAAUAAACUAUUAACAUUCGAACUAAAUUUAUUUAAGAUCAAGGCAUGAUAGUGUGGAUUCUAACACAAUUCAGCAUGGAUUGUGAUUAAGUAUAAACUUUUAUCAACCAUAUAUAUUUAUUAAUCAUGGUUAAGCGAGAUGACAAGGGUUUACUUUGACUAGUGGUUAAAGGUUCAAUCCUUGUCCUAAGUAUGAAACAGCUUUAUAACUCAUGCCUAGCGGAGCCUAAGAAAUGCGGAGAUUUUUAAUACUAUUUAUUUUAUAUAAAAAAAUAACACAUACUUGCUAACAACCUCUUGACUUGGUGGCAAGAGCAUUUAUGUUGUGCGCGUUUGCUUUUUUUCCAUUGUUUUGUUCAACUAUUGCCUACCUUUUUCUCCCUCCUAUCUAGGGGUGAGUAUUCGAUCGAGUUGAGUCGAAUCCAGUCAAAAAAUUUCGAGUUAGUCGAGUUGACGAAUCCCAUUUUAGCAAUUGAAUUCAAUUUGAAUUUUUUUUGAAUCGGAUCAAAUCGAGUCAAAAAAUUUCGAGUCAAGUUGAGUUAGCGAAUCUUAUUAUUUAUACUCAAUGUUGCGUUUACAUGAACCGAUUAUUUAACUAGUAAACGAAGUAUAAAAUUAUUUAACUACAUAAACAAUAUAAUAGUUUUACCUUUUAACUUAAUGAGUAAACAUUUAUCAAACUAACGUGGUUUUGCCUAUUAACUUAAUGGUUUUGACUUUUAACUUUAGAAAAAGUAAACAUUUAUCAAAAUGACGUAGUUUUACCUUUUCUUAUUUAGAUUUUCGGAUAACUCGAAUUGUGUAAUUCAUAUUCGAGUUAAACCGAAAAACUUAAUUUUUUAUUCGAGUUGAUCCAAAUAACUUGAUUAACUCAAAUGACUUGAACUAUUUAAUUCAAAAUUUGAAAAAUUUAUCGAGUUUUUCGAAACAAAUCGAAUUUUGCUCACCCCUACUCCUACCAACUCUCACUUUAUUUGUUUUCCACAUGCCUUCUCUCUUUCAGUUUCCAAAUAUGUUUUGUGGGUACCUUUAUUGUCUUCACAAGUCGUGAUGGAUCGAUGACAGUGCCUGUCGUCGUUGAACCUCCACCAACUUACCAGCAAUUUCUCUUGGAAAGUGGGUUGGUCGUAGAUACUCGAAUGGUGACUUUUCAUCUACUUCUUAAUUUAUUUCUGUUUUGAGAGUAUUUCAAAAUAAUAAAUAAUUUUACGAGUUGGUUUGGACCCAUGUUUUCUUAAGUAUUAUAUUUUUUUGGUUUCUUUUUCAUUGUUUAAUUAGUCUUUCACUUUUUGAAGUUUUUUUGUCUUGUCUAGUACAAUUCUUUUAGUCUUACUUUUGCAAGUGAUUUUAAGAAGGAUUUUGUCACAAUUCUUUCCAAUUUGGUGGAUGGUCGAUUAUUUUUCCAAUUUUGCCCGUUAGUUUGGAUCAUUCGAGGCUGAUUUUCUUAUUAUGUUAAGUGCUUGCAACUACUCUAGAUAUGUCGUGCUUAAGUUGUGACAUAGUUAUCAACGUGCCAUAAUGUUCUAUUGAUGCUAAAGCUAAAACCUCAGUCAUGUUGAUGGAGCUUGUCCUUCAUUGCCGAUGAUGGGUGUUUAUUAUGCUAAGAAUGAAGACAUAUAAUGUCAUGUCAGCACAAAAUACACGUAGAUUAUCACAUGGAUUAUCACACUAAGAUAGUUAAAAAUUAAUGUUUUAAUUAGCAUUUAAGUUAAAAAAAUCAGCUCUUUUUUAAAAGCAAGUGACCAAAUCUAGCUAAAAUAAUAAAGAUCCAAUAUAAAAAAAAGUAAAUAAUUUAUUAUUAUAUUUUUACGUGGUUUUAGUUAAAAACCAGAUUUGGUAACACAAAAUGAAAAAAGAAUCAAAAUAAUGAAGCUUUUAUAAUUUAGAAACUGUUUUUUACAAUAUAAUAUAUUUAAUUAUUUACUGCUGGUUUUUACAAAACCACCAAACAGUUUCAUGUUUUAAAACUACAUUUUUAACAUACUUUUAAAACACUUUAUUUGAAACAACCUUUCUGUAAUGUAGAUUCUGUUCCAACGUCCUUAAAAUUUUAAUAUAGCAGCUACCGACCGCGUGCUAAAUGCAAGGGCCUCGCCAAACCCACAAAUUGGUCCCACCACCAAUGCGUUCCGCCGAAUGAAAAUAAAUAUGUAUUAGAAAUAUCCAAUUGAUGCUGACAAAUAAUCAGUGCCAACGCCCUGUCGGUUGGAUUAUAAUCCAAAUAUCUUAAUAACAAAUGAUUGGGUUUUGCUCCAACAACUUAUGCAUCCAUAGUGCUAAAGUGAAAAUCGACGAGGAAAACCAAUGGUGAAAAUGGGUGAUUCUUUUUAAUUAGAGUAUUUAUUGUUGGUGGUAGUGAUUAAUGUUUUUAUUACGAGUGCUCUUUGAAGAGAUUGAUAGCAGUGAUUAAUCUCUUUGUUGUGGGUGUUUUUUGAAAAAGUAAACAGCUGGCCAUGAAAUGUAUUUUAUUCCCAGAAGUGAGAAUUGAAUCACCGAACAUAUAAUUAAGGAAUGUAGAGAAACACAGCAAAAUGAUAAACCAAACAGAUGAUUUCCAUUGAAAAAGAAUACAUCCUAAAGAUUGAAUUUACUGUAUUUAUACAAUAUUUCUUGCUGAACAGCUUCAAUAACUUGUUAACAGAAAACAACUUCUUUAACUGCUAACUGCUUAACAAACUACCAGUUAAUUAUUGACUUAUUCCUUGACAUUCACCCAGUAGAUGCACCUCUAUCAUCUUCUGCUUUGUAAGGACUCAAGUCUGUUGACAACUUUAAGUUGUGUUCUGAAUUUGGUAAAACACCUAGCUGAAAGGGGUUUGGUGAGCACAUCAGCCACCUGAUCUUGAGCUGGAACAUGACCAACAACUAACUUUCCUGUGUUCACCUUUUCACGAACAAAAAAUAAAUCAAGCUCCAUAUGCUUGAACUUGGAAUGAAGAAUUGGAGUAGCAGAUAUGACCAUUGUAUUUGAAUUGUCACACCAAAGAGCUGCCUUUCCAGCAAGCUGAACUCUUAACUCUCCCAAUAAAUACUCCAGCCAAGUGACUUCUAUUGUAGCAUGAGCAAGGCUCCUGUAUUCUGUUUCUGCCGACAAACGAGAUACCACAUGUUGUUUCUUUAAACCCUAAGAUACAAGAUUCCCACCAAAGAAAAUAUAAAAACCCGACGUUGAACGUCUGUCAUCAUGAUCAUUUCCCCAACUAGCAUCUGAAUAACCAACAAGAGACAGACGAGAGGCAACAGUAAAAUAAACGCCAUGAUCUAUCGUUGCCUGUAAAUAUAUUAAAAUAUGUUUAACAGCUUUGAAAUGAUGAUCGAGGGGAUAUUGCAUGAACUGACAGACCCUGUUGACAGCAAAUGUAAUAUCAGGCCUGGUAAUCACGAUGUAUUGACGGGCCCCUACGAUGCUCCUGUAUUCUGAUUCAUUGUCAAUAGGACUCCCCGUAUGAACAGACAACAUACAAGAAGAUAUUAUGGAAGUAAGAAUGCCUUUGGACCUUUCCAUGUGACUUUGUUGCAGCAAGUCUUGAAUGUAUUUUCGUUGACUAAGAAAGAGUCCCGAAGCGGUAUGUGUGACUUCGAUACCCAAAAAGUAAUUCAACUGUCCCAAUUCCUUAAGAAAAAAUCUCGAAUCUAAGGACUCUACAAAGGUAUCAACACUUGACUGAUGAUUGCAUGUGACUAUAAUGUCAUCGACAUAUACCAGAACAUAUAGAAGAAUCUCACCAGACUAUUUAAUAAACAAAGAAGCAUCAGAUUUUGAUAACAUAUUUUGAUAACACAAAACCAUAGGCAACAAUAUGAUCUUUCAACUUUUGAAACCAGGCCUGAUGUGCCUUGUUUGAGGUCAUACAAUGCCUUCCUAAGCUUGCACACCAAUGGUUGACCUCGAUUAUGAUGUUCAAAACCUGGGGGCUGAAGCAUGUAUAGUUCUUCAUUAAGAUCCCCAUUAAGAAAAUCAUUAUUUAUAUUUACUUACCUCAAAGCCCAACCAAACGUAACCGCAAGGGAAAAAACCACUUGAAUUGUUAUAGGCUUAACAACCAGACUAAAGGUUUCAUGGAAAUCAAUACCUGCUUCUUGAAGAUACCCUUUGACAACAAGCCUGCCUUUAUAAUGAGCCACAGAGCCAUCCGCAUGUCUUUUGAUUUUGAAAACCAAUCUGUUAGGAGGCAAAGAUACAAGCUCUCAUGUUUGAUUAUGCAUGAGUGCAUAGUAUUCUUGCUGGGCAGCUUUAGUCCACUCAGGACUUAAAAAUGUCUUCUCAAUAGUCAAAGGCUCAUGUUCAGCUACAUCAGUAGUAUAAAGCUUUGGUUUAAAAAUACCAUGCUUAGACCGUGUUUGCAUAGGAUGUGUGUUGGAACUAACAGGUGCAGCUGAAGAUGCAGGAGCAACUCCAAAUUGAUCUAUAUAAACACUAGUAAAAAUUAGACUAGAACAAGAAGAAGAUGCCUAUUGUGACUUUUCGAGAGAACCACUCGAUUGAUUAACAGGUGUGACAAUGCCAGUAGUCAGCCUUUGAAUGGAACAAGACAAGGAAGCUGUAGUACCAGUACCAGGUGAUGGAAGAGCUAAAAAACUAGGUUGGUCAAUACGUGUGGAGACUCUAACAUUCAACGCAUCACCAGAACCAGACAAAGAGCCAGCAGCACCAGGAUCGGAUGAUUGAGCAACUGAAAUACCAGAAGACCAUUCACUCAGAGUUUUAUGCAACAAAUGAACACUUGAUUGUUGAUGCAUCAUUGAUAAGUCGGUCUUUGUAGAAGGAGUUUUUCUCUUGGCAAAUGGAUAGAAAGCUUCAUCAAAUAUUACAUGCCUGAACACAAAAAUUCUGCCACUGUCAUCAAGAAAUCUAUAACCUUUAUGUUUAGGACUUUAACCAAGAUAGGUGCAAGCUCGAGACUAGUAUUAAAGCUUAUGCUUAUUAUAAGGUCUAAGAUACGGGAAACAACGACAACCAAAAACCUUAAGCAACAUAUAAUCUGGUGAAGUAUGAUACAACCGUUCAUGAGGGGAUUGCCUUUUUAGAACAGACGUGGGUAGUCUAUUAAUCAAGUAAAUAGCAUGCAAAAAUGCAUGACUGUAAUGAUGCAUUGGCAAGGAAGCUUGAACAAGCAACGUGAGACAUGUUUCAACCAAAUGUCUGUGUUUCCUCUCGACAAUUCCAUUCUAUUCAGAAGUAUGGGGGUAAGUCAACCUGUGUUGAACACCAAGCUGAGAUAGGACAGUAGCCAGUGGUCUGUACUCACCACCCUAGUCACUUUGAAACAUUUUAAUUUUGCACCCAAACUGAACUUCCACAAAAUUAUAAAAUUGAAUAAACUUGGAAAAAACUUUAGCCUUUGUCUUUAAUAGAUAAAUCCAAGUAUAUCGACUAUAUGCAUCUACAAAAGACAGAUAAUAGAGACAACUUUCAGAAGGAAGAGGAGCCAGUCGCCACAAAUCUGACACAACAAGUUCAAAGGGUGAAGAAUAUACAAUCUGAGAAUCAUUGAAAACCAGUUUAUGUGAUUUUUCUAACUAACAAGGAGCACACACCCUAGGCAGUGUGGACUUAUUUGGAAAAAUAUUACAGCUUCGAAGUACAUGAUGAAGAGUUUUUAUACAAGGGUGGCCAAGUCUUUUGUGCCACAACUCUAACACAGAACAAGAACCGUCACGAGUGUGAACCUCAGCAGUAUGUGCACACUGAAAACCACCAACAGAACCAGCAGAAUCUCCUUGUUGUGGUGAUGUAUCAAAAUGGUACAACCCUUUAUGGAUGUGACCCACCAGCAAAACCGUCCUUGUCUUGAUGUCCUUCACAAAGCAAUGAAAGGGAUGAAAUUCGAAAAACACCUGAUUAUGGAAAAAUAUUAUUCUUCCACAUGUCCUGAACUUAACAACGUUAGGCUCGGGUAUCGAUUUAGUUUAUGGAAAAAAGUCUGGGUACCAGUCUGAGACAAAAAAAACAUAAGUACCAAUCUGGGAGAAGUGGACAAGUUCGGGUACCUAUUUUGUAUUUAACCCUUAAAUCUUUUUUCAUGAAAAGUCAAUUACUAUCAAAUAGUAAUCAAGUCAUUCAUCACAAAGACGAACGGCCCGUAACCAUGUUUACUUUUCAUCAUCAUGUAAUGCUAAUGAAAGGAUAUCAUUUACCCAUGUCUUGGGCUAUGAAAUCCACUAUUGUGAAUGAUGCUACAUACUACAAAAGUCGUAUUGUAAUGACCCAAAAAUUCACGGGCAUCGGAAAUGUAUAAUAUCGGGCCUCCGUCUUAGUAAAUUGAGUUCGAAAAUAAUUAUUAGAAAUAUUUUUUUUAUUUACUAAACUAGUUAUGCGUUUAAUUAGGUUUUAGAUAGGUGAAUUUAGCUUAAUUAAGAGUAAUUAGUAAAAAGAAUUAAAUUACAAUAGAAGUGAAAGUUUAAUUAUAGAUUAAAAUAAAAUAAGAGGGACUAAAUAGGUAAAUAAGCCAAUGGCUUAAGAUUAGGCGGCAUAAGCAUAAAAAAAUCUAAAAUUUUUAUGUGUUAAAAAUAUAUUAUUAAAUUAGUAUUAUUAAAUUAUUAUUAUUAUAUUUUAAAUAAAUAAAAAAAAGUUGACAAAUGUAUGGUGCAUAUGAAGAAAUGUGGAAAAAUGAAAUACAUGUAUUAGUAAUUAUUACAUAUUUACUUAUCAUUUAAGUAAAUAAUAUUAUUAUUAUUAUUAUUAUUAUUAUUAUUAUUAUUAUUAUUAUUAUUAUUAUUAACUAAUGCAUAAAAGGGAUAAAUAAAAGAAUAAAAGAACAAAGAGAAAUAGAAACAAAUAGCUAAAAAGAACAAAGAAAGAGACGAAAAUAGGGGAGAAAAGGGGAAAGAAAGGAUCGGGUCCUUGAAAAGUGGNNNNNNNNNNNNNNNNNNNNNNNNNNNNNNNNNNNNNNNNNNNNNNNNNNNNNNNNNNNNNNNNNNNNNNNNNNNNNNNNNNNNNNNNNNNNNNNNNNNNGUAUUAGUAAUUAUUACAUAUUAUUAUUAUUAUUAUUAUUAUUAUUAUUAUUAUUAUUAUUAUUAUUAUUAUUAACUAAUGCAUAAAAGGAAUAAAAUAAAAGAAUAAAAGAAACAAAAGAAGAAAUAGAAACAAAAUAGCUAAAAAGAAACAAAGAAAGAGACGAAAAUAGGGGAAGAAAAGGGGAAAGAAAAGAAAGGGGAAAAAUUUAGAUUUUGAAGCUUGAAGUUUAAUAGGUAAGCUAAAUCAAGACCUUUCCUCAUAAAUUUGAUGUUUUUUUUGGAACCCUAGAGUGAAAUACUCUUGGAUUUAAGUUGAAAAUUUGAAAGUUAUUAGAUUUUUGAGUAGGGUUUAUGUUGAAUAAAUGAUGGAAUUGAGGGUUUAUUUGAUAGAAUUUCUAGUUAGAGUUGAUAAAAGGACUAAAUUGUGAAGUAAACUAUAAGUUUUAUGUUUGUAGGGAUUAAAUUGAGGAAAAUUCGAAAUUAAUGAAAUAUGCUGAAAAUUUGGUAGUUAAAUUUGAGUUUAGAAGAAAUUUGAAUAGAAAUAGAGGGUGAAUUAAAUUAGAAAAGUAAAUAAAUUUAGUUAGGAUUAAAUUGGAAUUAAAGUAUAAAUUAGAUAGAAAUUCUAUUAUUUAUAAAUUAAUGUUGUAAUUGAUGGUGUAAAUUAUUAUUAUUUUCGUAGCUAACAAGGAACUCGAGGCAUCGUCACACAAAGGAAAGGAGAAGGUUAUUGAGGAAUAAUCGAGCAAAAUUUGGGUUUGUAUUACUAUAAUUCAAAUUAUUUAUUAUUUGAUGUUAAAUUUAAAUUAUGUGUAUGGUAAGCAUGUAAUAAGGUAAGUGACUUUAUUGAAUUGAAUUUGAAAAAAAAUUAAAUUGAAUAAGAAAAGUAUGUGUUGGUAUUGAACUGUGUUUUAAUUAGUGAAUGGAAAAAAAAAGAAAAAAGAAAAAGAAAGUAUUAAUAUUGAAAAUGAAUUCUUGAAAUAAAAGUGAAAAUUAGAUUGUGAGAUUUAUAUACCCUAUUAACUAGUCGGGCUAAGUCGGAUAUAGUUGGCAUGCCAUAGGAUUUGGAUGAGUACAGGAUUUAUCGGCCUUGCCGAUCAGGCACUUUAUGUGUCGUAUCUCAGACANNNNNNNNNNNNNNNNNNNNNNNNNNNNNNNNNNNNNNNNNNNNNNNNNNNNNNNNNNNNNNNNNNNNNNNNNNNNNNNNNNNNNNNNNNNNNNNNNNNNCAGGUACUAUGUACCGUUUUAGGCACAAUGUGUCGUACUGGUGUGUUUGGGUUGGAAUCCGUGUAUCCGUCAAAGUCCAGAUUGUUAAUAGGGUGAAUAAUUAAAAUGAGAAAAUCAAAUGAAUUUGAUCGAUUGUGGUAUUGAAUAUGAGAAAAUUUAAAAUUUGCAGAUUGAAAUUGAUAUUGAAAAUGAAAGGCAUGAAUUUAAUGUUUAUGUAGUGAUUGAAAUUGCUACAUGUGAUAUGUGAUUGAGAUUGAAGAAUAGCUAAAAUUGUAUUGUUAUUGUUAAAUAAUAAAAGUUUAAGAAAUUGAAUAGUUACAUGCUUGGUAAUUAUAAUUCUUUAUUGCUAUUAUAAUUUGAAUUAUGGUAAUACCACUGAGUAUAAAAUACUCAGCGUACAGUUGUUUCCGUGCGCAGGUUGAAAAGGGGUCAGAGUCUCGAUUCAGCAUCCAGGACAAUCCCGGCUCCGACAUAAAGAUUUUGGUGAUGUCUUCUUCCUUAAUUGAAAGUGGCAUGUACAUAAGAAUUAUAAUAGUUAUUUUGGAAUGUUAUAUAGUUUUGUUGUAAAGUAAGAUAUUAUGUGUUUUGAUGAUUAUGUUAGUAAAAUGGUAGAAGUCCUUUAUGGCAUUGGUAUCAAAUUGAAAUGGCUUGAUUAGUUUUAUGUGUUAAUUAGAAAUGAUAAUAGGACUUUUAUUAAUUAAGUUAUUAUGUCAAUAUGUCAAGUAAGAUUUAAGUAGAUAAAUGCUUUGGUUGAAAUACUGGAAUUGGGUUGGUUAUGUUUGAAAUUUUUGCAGGGGGUUAUAUGUAAAAAUAAGCAGAAAUGCUGCCGAAAUUUUUAUAAAAAAAAAGAAUGAAUGUAAUCAAUUAUUAAAAUUUAUAUGAAUUUAUGAUUUAUUUUAAUAUGUUGGUUAUUUAUUUAAAAAUUAUUUGUAAAUUGUUUGAUAUGUCCGGUAAUGCCUCGUAACCCUGUUCCGGUGACAGUUUAGGGUUAAGGGGUGUUACACGUAUACCCAACGCACCAACUUUUGGUUCUUUAUCUAUUUGAACUUAGGCUUUUACUUACAUCAAAGUAUUCAAGUAAUGCAUACAUAGUUCAUCAUCCACUCAGGAUUAAGGUAUGCCACACUAUGAACAUCUCAAGUGAAUAUAUCUAUAAACGUAUUCAUGAUCUAUUUUUCUUGGUCUUGUCUGAUGUAUUGUCAGUCCAGUUAGUGUAACAACUCGUUUUUCAGUGAUGCCAAAAACAGUGGUUUCAGAACCUCGUUCUUUGAUUAUCGAAUCCAUAAAUAUUAUUAAUUAAUAUUUACAAGUUAAUUUUAGUAGUAUAUUGAAUUUUGGUUUGGCGAUUUUGUUAUUGGAUAGUUAGCUAAGGUACAAGUGUUUCGACCUGAAAGUCAGUGAUGUCGAAAAUGGUGGUUUUGAAACCCCAUUUAUGACGAGCGAGUCUAUAAAUAUUAUUUAUUUAAUAUUUACGAGGUUAGUAUAAAGUUUAAUUAAAGUUUGAUCCAUUAAUUUUGCCUUUUAGAUAGUUAAUUAGAGUACAAAAACUAAAUCGUAAAAGUUAAUUGCUAGAGAUUUUUCAAUUGCUAAAAGACUAAAAUAGUAAUUAAAACAAGGUUUGAAGCAGAAAUAUUCCCACUUUAGUUGAUAGUGAAUGGUUGGUGGUGUUUUAUUAAUGAUGAUUAUUAAAAUUUUAUGAUUAAAUUAUUAUUAAUAUAUUAAAACAUAAUAUCAAAAUCUUUCAUUUUUAUUUUUCUCUUCUCCCCGCCAAUGGCAGUAAAGAAACUUGAGGAAUCCAUUAUUAAGGCUUCAACUAUUCGGCUUCUAGCAUGGUAAGGUAUACAAAGCCCGUUUUUUGUAAAUUUUAUAAUUUUUUGAUCGUUGUAGCUCGAUUUAGUUAACCGAUGUGUUAAUUUACGAAACUAUUAAAAUUUAUAAAUGAUGCCAUUGAUGAAUUCUUGAAUUUUUAAUGUUAAAUUGUUAGUUUGUAAGUUUAGAAGUGAAAAUUGAUAGUUUUAAACUUAGGGACUAAAGUGUAAAUAUUUCAGGUUUGGCAUGAAAUUUUUAUAAUUAUAGAUAAUAGAGGGUUAUAGAAGGGUGAAAUUGAAAUCAAAUUGAAAAAUGAAGCUUAAAUGUGAAAGAUAUAACUAUUUUGAUUUCAGGGACUAAAUUGAAUAAAAUACAAAACUUUAGAGAAUUUCUGAAAAGUGAAAUUGAAUUGAAUUAUGGUUAUAAUAGCCUAUUAAAAUAUGUUUAGAAUUGAUAAAUUGUAAUGAAUUAUUAUAGAUUGGGAUUUGAAUCAACCAGAAAAUAAUUAAAGAAAAGGCAAAAUUGUGGAUUAGUUCUAAACGUUUCAUUUGUUGUUGUUUUUGUCAGGAAAGUUCAUACAAGACUUAAUUUAUUAAUUUAUGUUAUGUUUGUAUUAUAUUAUUUUAAUUUUUAAGUUGGAAUUAUUAGGUAAAUUAUGUCCUUUGGCAUCAAAAGGACUAAAUCGUAAACAUGAAAUAAAUGACUAAUAUGAAUAGAUACAAGAUAAUGAUUAAAUGUGAAAUUGAUAUAUGAUUGAAUAGUAUGGAUAUAGUGAUGUUACAGGUUUAAAAUUGUAUAUGGAUUGUUAUUCAAAAUGUGAAAAGUGAGUAUAUAAUUUUAAGGUUUGUAAUGAUAUAGAAUUGGUAACGAUACUGGUUGAACUUAAUAAACGACUAGGAUACAAAUGGCAUGUCAUUAGGGUCAAAAAUGAAAUUGGGUGUUGGUCAUGAAUUUCUUUAUCGAUGGCUAAGAUCCAGCAUGUGUUGUGGAUUCUCGACAAUUUGAGUGAGCAACAUCGAAUAAAGUCUCUAUAAUCAACUUUAAUUUACAACUUGUGUGAGCAACCCAAAUACCACAUCUUGUGUGAGAAAUCUGAAUUAUUCUUUAUCAAUGGCUGAGAUCCAGCACAUGUUGUGGAUUAUCGGUAGUUUGAUUAAGUAGCAUCGAAUAAAGCUUGUAUAAGUAAAUCAGCUCUACAGUUUGUGGAAGCAAAUUAGUCUUAUGUAUUUGAAUUUAAAUUGUUAUAGUUCUCUGGAUAGAAAACGAAAAUUAAAUGGUAAUGAAAUGAUUGAAUGUAGAUUCUAUUGAUGUGUUUUAGUAUCGAACAAGGUUGAAUAGUAUGACGUAAAGUAAUUUGGUUGUACAUGUAUAUGAAUUUAAAUACCAUGAUCUUGUUAUGUGAGGUACUAACGUAUAGGUUGUCUUGUGCAAUGGUUUAUGAAUAUAUAUAAUUAAGAUGCCGAGGAUAUAUCAUGUUGUGCCUUUGUGUUUCAAUAACUUAAAUUGUAUAACGAUAAGGUAAGUUAAGUUAAUUUAUUAUGAAAUUACUAAGCAUUCGAUAUGCUUACUUUGUUUCAUUUUUUUGUUUCUGUAGUGGUCAUUUUGUGGAACAUGUCAAUCGGAUCACCUUGAAGCUUACACUACCCAACUUUCGAUUCAGUAGACUUUUAAAUGUUCUGGACUUAAUUAUGUGGCAUGUAUAUAGGCUUGAUACGUAUAUGUGUACUUAUUUUAAAUGUUCAUGAUCUUAAAGCUUAAAUGAUGCUUGGUUUUGAUGGCCUCAUGUUAAGUAUCUAUGUAUGCAUAUUGGCUAUAUGUUAAACCAUAGUUGAUGUGAAGAGAUAGUAUUAUUGAUGAUGGAAUGCUUGAGUAUAAUAGUGAUAGUAGAUGGUAUCAAAUGUUUGAGUAUUUGGUAUUACAUAGGUUGAUAUGUUUAAUAAAGUACUAAAUGGAUGUUUAUUGGCUUGAAUAAUGUUGUGAAUGGCUAUUAGUAUAAUUGAAUGAUGGAUGGAAAUAUGUAUGUAUUAAGUUAUGCAUGGCCUAAUUGGUUAAACUGUUUAGGUAAAGGCACAUGUUGAAGACUAAAUAAGACAUGUUGAUUAGUGGAUUGAAAAUGGAUGAAUUAUGGCAUAUUGUUAUGGUUUGAGGUUGGUUUUAUGCAGGUUGUGUAACAGCCCAUUUUCAAUGAAAUCGGAACAAUGGUUUCGGGACCACAAAUUCGAGGUUAAAAUAAAAUUUAUUUUAAUAUUAUUUUAUAGUCUAUGGUAUGAUAGGAAUGUUGUAUGAAAAUUUUGUUGAGAACUUUAACCGAUUACACGUCUAAUUUGUUAAAAGGACUAAAUCGAAAAAUGUACAAAACUUGUUAAUUAAAAGAAAUAGCGAUUAAAUAGUUCAAAUGGUAAAUGAGGAAGGACUUUAGGCAUAAAUAUGCCUAAAGUAAUUGGCUGGACGGAAUAGGCUAAAAAAUAGGACAAAAAUGGUGUUAAAUAAGGGCAAAAUCAAAAAUUUUACCAAAUAAAAAGAAACAAAUGAAAUUAAAGAAAUUAUAGACAUUUCUUCAUCAUUUUCAGCACUAAAAAUAGACAUUGAAGAGGGUUUAAGCUAGUUUUGUAAUGGCCCAAAUUUGAGGUUAUCGGAACAGUGGUUUCGGGACCACAAAUCCGAUGAGAAAAAUUUUAUUUUUCUUAUAUUUUUAUGGUCUACAAUUUCACAAAAUGAUUUCGUGAAAAUUUCGUUCGAAAAUUUCGACGUUUGGGCACUCAAUUUAGUCAAAAGGACUAAAUUGUAAAAGUGCAAAAGUUGAGUUCUACAUGUUAGAUGUGUCCAAUUGUUAUGAAACUUUAAAUUGGAGGUCCUUAUAUGGUAAUUAUACCAUUGGUAACUUGGUAGACAAAAAUGGACAUGAGAUAAGUGAAAUAGAAAAUUUUUAAGUUAGGGGCAAUUUGGUAAUCUAGUAAUUAAAAUGAAUUAAAAGGGAAAAAGAUGACAAAUUAUGCUCAUCUUCUUCAUAUGAACGAAAUCAGCAAGGGGGGAAGCCAUAGUUAGGGUUUUCAAGCUUCCAAGCUCCAUAGUAAGUGAUCCCAAGCCCCGUUUUUAAUGUUUUUUACGUUUUUGAGAUCCCGGUAGCUUAAUUUAGCUUAUUCUAGCAAUAAUUUAACCUAGGGUUUAUAUUUGGAAAAAUACCCAUAGGUGAAAAGUGUUUAUUUUGAUGUUUUAUGAUAGAAUAUGAAGCUAGAAAUUAUGUUAAACAACUUUUGCUAAGCGAUUUUAAGUGAAAACGAGUAAAACGACAUAAUCGGUAAAAAUACCUAAUGUUCAUAAGUACAUGUUAGAGUGGGAAUUUGAUGUUACCAUAGAAGGGAAAAAUGUUCAGAAUGUUAUAAAACAUAAGAAUAAGAGAUGAAGUUUAAUUUCCGAGCCUUGGGGCAAAAAUGUAAUUAUGUAAAAGUUUAGGGGCAAAAUUGUAAUUUUGAAAAAGUUAGAGUCGAGGGCUGUUUUGAUGAAUGUGAUUAUUAAAUAAGUUAAAUUUACUAUUUUAGAUCAAGAAGUACGAAACUCGAGGUUAGACAAAGGGAAGAAUAAAGUUGAUGGCUAAGUUGGUGAAUUUGGCUAUAAUUGGUACCGAGGUAAGUUUACGGUAAAUAAAUGCAAUAUUUCCAUAUUUAUUAUCAAUGCUGUUAUUUUCCAGCAACUAUGAAUUUAUUUUAUGAAUUUAUUUGAUGAUGAUCUAAGCAUGAAAUGAUAGAGAAUUAAAAUUAAAAAGUCCCGUUGAUACAUAAGGAUGGUACUGCAUACGAAUGUCAUGACAUUUGGGUAAAGAGGUCCCAUGUAAGACCAUGUCUGGGACAUGGCAUUGGCACCGAGAUGAGAGGUCCCAUGUAAGACCAUGUCUGGGACAUGGCAUUGGCACCGAGAUGAGAGGUCCCAUGUAAGACCAUGUCUGGGACAUGGCGUUGGCACCGAGAUGAGAGGUCCCCCGUAAGACCAUGUCUGGGACAUGGCAUGGGCACCGAUAUGAGAACAUCCCAUGUAAGACCAUGUCUGGGACAUGGCUUUGGCAUGUUAUUAUCAGAAGAGACCCGAGUAUCCUUAUUAUUCCAAUGUAGCUCAACGGGCUUGUAAACGAAUUAUGUUCAUGAAAGUUCAGUUUAAAGCAUAAAUGGCAAGCUCAGGUAAGUUAUAAGAGUUAAGAACUUAUUAUACUAUCAAUUGAUGUUCAACGAUGCAGCAAGAGUUGAGUAAGUUAUGCACACAAGUAUUCUAAGUAAACAAGUAAGAGAACUAGUAUGAGAUUAACUAAAGAGUAAACUAGAGAUAUAGACAUUGAGUUUAAUUAUUUAAGUUAAAUAUUGUUAUUUAUUUGCUAGUAAACUUACUAAGCUUUAUGCUUACUUCUUUUAUUUCUCUUUCUCUUAUAGUAUUGCAAAGCUACUUCAAGGAUCCUAAAGAAGUCGGAGAUUGUCCACACUAUCAACUACAACUGCUCGGUAUUUUAUAUCGAAACACGUUUGAGUUAUGGCAUGUAUAGGGAUUUAGUUAUUUUGUAUGUUUGUAAUGAUGAUUUUGCUAAUGAGUGAUGUGUAAGUAUUUGAUGAUGUAUGGUCAUUAAAAUGGUUAAGGAUGAAGGUGUUUGUUGUUAUGAAAGAUUAGGUGAUAAAUUAUGCAUGGAAAUCAUGAAAGGAUAAAAUUUUGCAAAGAAACAGAAUUCAGGCAGCACAGUGACGUGAAUUUGAAAAAUCACCCAAGAUAGUAUAAAAUGAAUUAGAGGGUGAAUGAUAUAUGGAAUUAAAGCUUGUUGAGUCUAUUUUCAUAUAAAAAUAACGAUGUAGCAAAAGGAAAUUUAUAUUUUAAGAUAUGUGAAUUUUAGUAAGAUAGGGUCAGAACUGUUUUUGGAGUCCCCUGUUCUGAGUUUAGAAAAUAAUUACAAAUUGUAAAAAAAUGGUUAUGAGUUGAAAUUUACAUGCUUAGAUUCCUUAAUGAGUCUAUUUUCUGUAUAAACAAGUAAGAACUUCAUAUGAAAAUCCUACAGUGAGAAAACUUAUUUUUAGUAACAAGAGGUCAGAAUAGUCGAAUGGUGAAACAGGGGAGACUUUAACUAAUAAACUGUACUAAUUGGCUGAACCAAAAAUUCUAAAAAUUUUAUGGUGAGUAGAUAUAUGAGUCUAGUUUCAGGGAAAAUUUACGGAAUUAAAUUUCGAGUUCUGUAGCUCAAGUUAUAAUUAAUUUAGUAACUGCUAUGCGAUUGGAUAGAUUUGCUGUAAAUAGUGAAAUAAAUUUUCAAACCUAGUUUUUAUGCUCCGAAUUGGUAAGAUAAGCUAAGUAAUGCCUCAUGCUCGACUCUGGAAACGGUCUCGGGUAAGGGGUGUUACAAGUUUUUCAAUUCUUUCUUUCUGUAAGUUAAAUCCUCACCCGUUUCUUGAAAAUUUUAUGUUUUUGUGUUUGUUACAAUUAGGUCCAAGUAACCUUUACCUUGGUUUUUGAUUUUAUUGAAAAUUUUGAAGUUACCAUUGAUGAUUUCAUAUGAUCUAAGUUAUUAGAUGAUGAAAUUGAGGUGUUGAUGGGUAUUUUAAAGUGUUUUAUUAAAUAAUUUUGAAGAAAACAUGAUUUAGGGAUUAAAUUGGAAAGAUAUUGAAUUCAUGGAAAAUUCUAAAUUUUAUGGAAUACAUGGACUUUUAUUUUUAUAUGAGAAAUUAGGCUAGGCUUGGAAUAAGGAUUAAAUUGCAUGAAUUUCAUUUUUCGAGCCUAGGGAUGAAAUUUGAAUUAAUUAAAAGUAUAAGGGCAAAAUGGUACAUAUGCCUAAAAUGUGAAUUUGAUUGAAUUGAAUAUGAAUUUUUUAUUAAAUUGAGUUAAAUUUACUCGUAUAGAUCCAGAUAGACCUAGUACGGAAUUGGAUCGAGGAAAACAAAAAGUAUCGGAUUAGUAGAUUUUCAUAUAUGAACAAGUGUCGAGGUAUGUUUGUGUAACUAAAUUGUGUACAUUUAUAUGUAUGAAUUAAAUGUUGUAUAUGUGAAUGUUAAAUUGUGUAAUUGCUAUGUUUAUGAAAUUAAUCAUAAAUCCGAAAAUGCCCGAUAAGUAUGAAAUCCCGUUUGAAUACAUGAAAUUCGAUUCGACACAUGGCUCUCGUAUUAAUUGUGGUCUUGCAUAUGUUGCAGACGCACCAUAGCUCGAAAGAGCAUCCCGAUAUUAGCUAUUAUGAGCUUCCCGUUAAAUGGUUUUUGUGAGCUUCCUAUUAUAGCUCUUCAGAGCAUCCCGAUAGGUUGUGAUCAUACAUGAGUUGUGGACACACCUUAGCUCUUAUGAGCUUUUCGAUUAUGGCUCUUCAUGAGCUUCCCAUUAAUUGGCUCUUUGUGAGCUUCCCGAUAUGGCUCGCUUGAACUUUCUAAUAUAUGGCUAUCCGAAGCUUCCCGUUAAUGGCUCUUUGGAGCUACCCGUUAUAGGCUCGUAUGAGCUUCCUGAAUAUAGCUCUUUUGAGCUUCAUGUUAUACAGCCCGGAUAAGCUUCCCAUUUAUGUGCUUUUACAAGCACUCCCGAAUAUGAGUUGACAGAUUUACUGUAUUGUACACUUCGUGUGUACUGCCUAUGUUUCCAUCAAUAUUUUAAGUGAUUGAACGGGUAAAGUUCCGGUAAGGGAUAAUAUGAAUUCAAGAUGAAAUAGUAUGAGAAUACUUGUUAUGCAAAAAGUAUGAUAUGUACAUGUUCCUUGGAAACUUGAAAUGAUAAACACAUGUAUGUGGGAAUGAGACAUUAAUUCCUUGGCACUAAUAUGAAUUAUGUAUCUAACAUGUUUGAUGAAGAUGUUUGUGUGUUUAGGUUGUUGAUCACAUUGAAUUGAAUGCAUUAUCUGUGUUACAAUAAAUGAGUAUGAAUGGUAAUUAAAUUCUGUUAUACGAACUUACUAAGCAUUAAAUGCUUACUCAGUUUUUUCCCCUGUUUUUAUAGUACUCGAAAGCUCGUGAAGGUUGGAACUAGGUCGGAGUCACAUCACACUUGUCAAAACCAUUUGUAAAUUUUGAAAAAACGGAUAUCGACCUUUUUUAAAAAGAAAACUCUGGGACUCGCCACCGAUCUUUUAUUAAGGUGUGAUCGGUUCACCAUUUAAAAUAAAUUUUAGGUCUGCAAAAUUUUAAGACAACAGGUUCGGGAGUCGAUUACGCACGAGGAAGGGCUAGCACCCUCGUGACACCCAAAAUUGGUACCGAAUUGAUUAUUUAAUGCCUUAGUGUCGAGCAUUUGAAAAGAUUUUAAAAUACGAUAUUUGAAGUUUAAAUUUGCGUAAAACAAAAAUGAAUAAUAAGAUGGACUCAUUUUGGAGUAAUAAAUUGCUACACUCAGUGAGUUAGGGUGCAACAAUUCGAUCUUUUAGAAUUAAAUGUAUACCCGUUUUAAGAAAAUCUUGUAUUCGCAGAAGGGUAUUUGAUGAUUUAAAUCGAUCGAGAAAUCCGAACCCAAUAAGUUAGGGAUCAAUUUCCCGAAUUUUUUAAACAUCAAACAUUACCUCCACAUUUAAAAAAAACUUUAAUUCAAGGUAGCAAAGCUGUCAGAUCCAGUGAGUUAGGGUCCAGCGCUUCGAAAUCUCGAGAAAAUUAUUUGAAAACUAUGAUUUUAUUUUAAAGGCGUUAUUUACCUAAAUUCGACGAAGAAAAUUGAAGCCCAGUAAGUUAGGGCACAAUUUUCUCGAAAAUCAUCGGAUGUAGGGUAUUCUGAAAACUUAAAAAAAAUUAUUUUAAUACAUUAGUAAAAUGUAGUCUCUUAACAAUAUAACAUGGUUAGAUGUUUUCAUAAAACGCGAAAGGGAAAUUCAAAGACAAAAUAUACAUUAAUGAACGAUAAGCAACCAAUGAACUAACAUGAACGACCAUGACAAUAAUAGUUCCAAACAUACAUCACAUAAAUAUUAACAUUAGUUAACAAGAUGAGGUUAAUUAAAAUUAAAGCAAAAUCACAUAACUCAAAUGAAACAUAUAAGCUUGAACCUAAUUUAGGGAAUGAAUAAACUAGAGAGUUGAAACAAACUUGAAUAACUUAACAUGUAAAAAAAUGAUUGUUUAAAAAUGUUUGAGGAAAAUAAAAUCUAUUUGAUAGUAUGAAAUUACUAUGGGUUAUAUACGUACGUAGGUAUACAUAUAUAUGAUGAAAAUAAUCAUAGAAUAAGUAAAUAUAUUAUUAUUACAAUAAGGUAUUAUUUGAAAGUGUAUGUUUAUAAAUCUAAAAUAUAAUGAAUGAAUUUACAUAAAAAACCUAAAAUGAAAUAAAUUUAUGAAAUAUUAAUAAUAAUAGUAAUAUGUCAUAAGAAAGGGCUAAUACAUAUAGAUCUUUUUUUUAAAAGAAAACUAAAGGAUGCAUGUAAAAUAAAAAUAAAUUAAUGCGUAUAUACGAAAGCAAAUAAGUAUGAAAUAUAACAACAAACAUAAUGAUGAUAAAUGCAUAUAGUAUAAUACUAAAAAUAAUAAUAAAUAAAAGAAUAAUAAAAAGGGGUAAAUCACAAUCAAAAUCAAAUCAUCAGGAAAUAAAUGAAAUAUGGAUAAAACGGAGGACCCUACUACAGUGUGCAAAUUAUAUGGGGGCCGAUUGGGAAAUAUCCCACUUCCCCAAAACGCAACACUUCAUAGUAGGUUAAAAUGGAACGAAAACAAAAUGUGUGGGUUAAAUCAGAGAAGGAAAAGGGACUUGAUUCAAAAGAAAACAGAAAAGGGGAGGGCUGGUCACGCAAAUAUCCCUCUCGACGCCAGAAUGCGAGGGUCAAGCCGCGCCUGGGUCUGGUCAUCGGGUCGAGAGCGGGCCAUCUUGCAAUACGAUGCUGUUUUGGGAGCCACUGUUCAGGCCCCAAACGGCACCGUUUAAACCCCCUUAAAAUAGAGAAAUAAAGAAACCCUAAUGGGUUAUUCAGCUACCCUAAAGAAUAACGAAAAAGAAAGAAAACAAGCUUCUCCUCUCUCCCUUUUUUGCGCUGUUCUCGGGCUAAACCGUCCACGGGUCCUCCGGUAGCCUCGACUCCGACGAGAACGACUAUGGGAUCACCGAGGUAAGUAUUCACUCCUUCUUAACUUGUUUUCAUUAUUUGUUAAAAGAAAGUAAAAAAGAACGAAAUCGAGAAAGAAAACAAUAAAAGUGCCGGAUCUACCUUUAAAAAAACGAUUUUAGAGAAAAGUUCCCUUUUGUAUUCAAUAUCUGUAUGCUUUUUUUGUAUAUUCGAUCGUCCCCCCUUUUUUACAAUGUUCUUUGGUCUUUUUAUAGUAUCUAUUUACAAUAAAAAGAAAAGAAAAUCCAAAAAUAAAAAUCUACCAAUCGCCCUCGCUCUGCCUUUUUAUUUUUCUCUGUGCCCCUUUUUUGUUUUGUGGUCUGUUUUCUACUGCGUUUGCUCGUCUCUGGCAGGUACUGUGUGUAGAGGUUGCGGAUGUGGCAUGUACGGAGGCGAAGGCGCACGUACGAGGCUCGUGCGAGCGGUGCUACGUGCAUGCGAGGGGACGUUUGCUGCGGUGCUGGUUGGGGCUGAUGCUAGGGUUUCCUCUUCUAUUGUAAUCGGGUCUGGGCUAGGUUGAUUUGGGCUUGUUAUAUUGGGUUUAGUUUGUUUAUCGGGCCUUUGUAUUAUUUUGGUAACUGAUCUGGGCCAAUUUGUAAAUGGACCUUUUCGCACUGAAUUUAAUAUUUUUCCUUUUUUGUUUUGAUUUUUUUUAUUUUUUUAAUGGGCCCCGGGCAAAUUGGGCCUGUUACAGCUGCUCCUCUUUGCUCAUUGUCGUGUAACAGGAAUAGAGCAAAGACUAAAAAGAACCAAUUUUUCCUGGUUGUGCUUGGACUUUGGUGCUCCUCUUUUUCGAGUUGCCUCAUUACAUCCUACUGUAUCUGCAGAGGUAUUGGAAUUGGUACUUCGAUUCACUCCACUGCAACGUCGGGGAGAUAGGAUUACUAGCUUCAAUCUUUUCGGUAUUCCCUUGCUGGUCAAGGAAAUAGGACUUGUGGCUUAAAUCUGUUUCCCUACUCCUGGGGAAGAUGAGAUUCGCCGUUUUCGAUCUGCUCCGCUACUGAUUAGGGAGGUAAGAUCUGCAAUCUCCAACCUAUUCCACUGCUGGUCAGGGACAUAAGACGUGUGGCUUAAACCUAUUUCCUUACUCUUGGGGAAGAUAAGAUUCACCGUCUUCGAUCUGCUCCGCUACUGUUUAGGGAGGCAAAAUCUGCAAUUUCCAACCUAUUCCACUGCUGUUCAGGGACAUAGGACUUGUGGCUUAAAUCUGUUUCCCUACUCCUGGGGAGAAUAAGAUUCGUCGCUUAGAUUUGUUUCCUUACUCCUGGGGAAAAUAAGAUUCUCCACUUAGAUCUAUUUCCCUAGUUCUGGGGAAGAUAAGAUUCGCCGCUUAGAUCUGUUUCCCUACUCCUGGGGAAGAUAAGAUUCGCCGCUUAGAUCUGUUUCCCUACUCAUUGGGAAGAUAAGAUUCACCGCUUAGAUCUGUUUCCCUACUCUUGGGGAAGAUAAGAUCCGCAAUAUUCACUGAUAUGUUCUCUAGGGAACAUAACAUGUGUAAUGAACCUAUUUAUGCCUAAUAGUUAGGAUGGCAUGAUCAGAAUAAAUCUAAUGCUCCUAACUAGACAUGAGUGAAUGGUAUUUUCCUGAAUGCAAUAUGUUGUCGUAUUAGUCAAAAUCUUAUUUAAGGCUUUUAUCAUAACCGCGCUUUAACACCCUCCUUCCUGGUUGGUGCCCUCAACAAAAAAUUUAAUUAAAUUGCCCCCGCUGUAAGCCUUCAAGCUCAAUUCAUUGGGUUGUGUUCAAUAUGCAACUCAAAAAAAUGGGGAGCUCUGGUCCUUUCUUCAUAUUCUAUCACAAUUGAAGGAUACUGAACGUGUAAACCUUUGGUAAACCACUCUCAGGAUGUCAUGCUUAGCACAAAGAAUUUUCCUCCAAGGAGAUCUCUCUUUUCUAACUCAUGACUAUUGCUGACAUUUCAUUCAAUUGACGCUUCCGUCAAUGAAGUCCGAAGGGACUGUUUAAAAUCAUAUUUUUUCUUAGAUUUCUGCCCUUUAAAUUUGGUUCAUUCUAAACAAUAGUCCUGUUUCAGAUUAUUGUAUUAUUUAGAAAAUUUUAGAGUAAUGUGCAAAACUUACUUUGUGAAAGUUCGGUAGUCCAUUAAUCAUUAUUCCAAUGCAACAUUUUACUGAAAGAUUAUGACUAUGGAUAAAUGUUGGUUCUAAGCAUAGCUCGAAAGAAAUAAAAUAUCAACAAUAGGGAGAGAAGAAUAACAAAUAAGUUGAUUGAGAAUGUGUAUAAUGAUAAAAUGUAUUAACACAUUCAAUACAAUAAGAACUAGGUGCCCAAGUUAUCGCAGUUUGAAUUUCUCUGUACAAACUUCCGAAGGCUAUUCUAAGUUUAGCAUGUGUUUAGGAGAUCUGCAGUACUCUGUCGAUGCUCCAAGAUAUCGUAUGCCCUUUCUUGUUGGUUCAGGUAUAGCAAGAUUAUCGUGUGCCCUGAUCAAAAUUUGAACAGUUCCAAUCUUCUCAUGCCCUUCUCUGACCAAUAUUUGAGCCGCCCUUUCUCAGCUUUUCGACUCAAAUCCCCUUUGAUCUCAAUGCGUCCUUUGCGGGUUUUCACAUUGGCCUCUCCAAAAUUUUUUUUUUAGGAAGCAAAUGCCCUUUGCGGGUUUUAACUUUGGUCCCCUUCUUUCAAGUGAAGUAUUUUUUUACAGAAUCUGCGUUUACGGGGUUUGGCAAACUUUUACCAUCCAUCUCACUUAGGAUCAAAGCUCCACCAGAAAAGGUCUUCUUUACAACAUAAGUACCCUCCCAAUUUGGCAUCCAUUUUCCUCUAAAGUCCUUUUGCAUAGGAAGGAUCUUUUUUAGCACCAAAUCUCCUUCGCGAAAUUCUCUAGGGCGAACCUUUUUGUCGUAGGCUCGCAUCAUUCGUUUCUGGUACAAUUGCCCAUGGUGAAUGGCUCUCAACCUCUUCUCCUCUAUUAGGUUCAACUGAUCAUAGCGAGAUUGGACCCACUCGGCUUCGUCCAACUGGAGUUCAGAUAAUACCCGUAGAGAGGGGAUCUCAAAUUCAAUGGGUAGUACUGCCUCCAUUCCAUAAACUAGAGAAAAAGGUGUUGCCCCGGUAGAAGUUCUAACAGAUGUUCGAUAGGCUGGGAGAGCAAAUGAUAACUUCUCAUGCCAAUCUUUGUAAGUCUCAGUUAUUUUCCCCACAAUUCUUUUAAUAUUCUUAUUGGCCGCCUUUACUGCACCAUUCAUUUUUUGACGAUACGGCGAUGAGUUAUGAUGCUUGAUCUUAAAUUGGUUACAAACCUCAUCUAUUGUGUUAUUGUUCAAAUUCAGCGCAUUGUCGGAUAUGAUUCUCUCAGGCAUUCCAUAUCGACAAAUGAUCUCCUUUUUCAAGAAUUUGCAGACUGCUGACUUCUUGACAUUUUCGUAUGAAGCAGCUUCUACCCACUUGGUGAAGUAAUCAAUGACUACAAAGAUAAAACGAUGCCCAUUAGAAGCCUUUGGUGAUAUUGGCCCAAUGACAUCCAUACCCCACAUGGAAAACGGCCAUUGAGAGGUCAUAACAUGAAGUGGCAAAAGGGGUGCAUGCAUCCUGUCUCCAUAAAUCUGACAUUUAUGGCAUUUCUUGGCGUAAUUAAUGUAAUCCCCUUCCAUAGUGGACCAAUAGUAUCCAAAUCUCAUGAUCUGUCUGGCCAUGGUGAAACCAUUGGCGUGCGUCCCACAGAUACCCUCAUGGACCUCCUCCAAAAUUUUUUUAGCUUCCACGGCAUCCACACAUCUUAACAGUAUAGCACUUCCCUGUCUAAGACAUAUUCGACAGCUAUUCUCCUCAGAGUUCUCUUGUCGUUCUCUGUUGCUCGACUAGGGUACUCCCGAUUCUUUACAUACUGUAGAAUACUCUGAUACCAAGGGUGAUCGUCUUUUCCUUGCUCCUCAAUAUUAUAACAAUGAGCUGGGGUUUCAUAGAUACUCAUCUGAAUAGGCCUUAUUACUUCAAGCCUGUUCACCAGAAUCAUCGAAGCUAACGUAGCCAAUGCAUCAGCCAUUUGAUUUUCCUCUCGUGGGAGAUAACUGAAGGUGAUAUCGUCAAACUCGUCAACCAACUCGAGGACCAGCAUUCUAUAACUGAUUAACUUAGGGUCUCCAGUUUCCCUUUCCCCUUUAAGUUAGUAUAUCACCAAUACGGAAUCCCUAUAUACUCUUAGCACUUUGAUGUUCCGCUCGAUGGUUGCGCGAAUGCCCAUAAUACACGCUUCAUAUUCUACCAUAUUAUUUGUGCAAUCAAAGUCUAACUUACUAGCCACAGGGUAAUGAUCUCCACUCGGGGAUACCAGGACUGCCCCAAUUCCAUUACCUAUAGCAUUCGAAGCUCCGUCGAAAUUUCACCUCCACUCAUGAUCCAUCUGAGGAUUUUCUUCAGUGCUUGCUACGCACAUCAAGUCCUCGUUUGGAAAAUCGAAGUUUAAGGGCUCAUAAUCCUCCAAGGCUUUACUUGCCAGGAAAUCAGCUAUUGCACUCCCUUUUAUGACCUUCUGACUUACAUAUACUAUGUCAAACUCAGAGAGCAGGAUCUGCCAUCUAGCCAUUCUCCCAUUUAAGGUAGUUGAUUCCAUCAUAUAUUUUAAAGGAUCCAACCUUGAAAUCAACCAAGUCGUAUGAUACUACAUAUACUGCCUUAGUCUUCGUGUCGCCCAGAUUAAAGCACAACACAAUUUCUCGAUUGACGAAUAUCUCAAUUCACAGCCAGUGAAUUUCUUGCUGAGAUAAUAUAUUGCCCUUUCUCUCUUUCCCGUUUCAUCGUGUUGGCCCAAUACACAUCUCAUGGAAUUCUCGAACACCGUUAGAUACAAUAUUAAUGGCCUAUCCGAACUUGGCGGUGAUAAUACGGGAGUAUUGGUCAAAUAUUACUUUAUCUCGUCGAAAGCUUGCUGACAUUCCUCAUCCCAAUCACCCGGAUUAUGCUUAUUUAAAAAACGGAAUACUGGAUCACAUUUCUCCGUCAAUUAUCCAAUGAAUCGAGUAAUGUAAUUCAGUCUUCCUAGGAUACUUCAGACUUCUUUUUGAGUGCGCAGAGGAGGCAGGUUUCGGAUUGCCUUUACUUCGUUCGGGUCCACCUCAAUCCCCCUCUUACUAACAAUAAAGCCUAAUAACCUCUCUGAUCUGGCUCCAAAUGUGCAUUUUGCAGGGUUAAGUUUGAGCUGAAAUUUCCUCAAUCUCAAAAAUAAUCUUUUCAAGACUUGAACAUGCUCCUCUUCAGUUUUAGAUUUGGCAAUCAUAUCAUCAACAUAGACUUCGACCUCCUUAUGCAUCAUGUCAUGAAACAAGGUCACAAUAGCCCUUUGAUAUGUUGCUCCCGCAUUCUUCAAUCCAAAUGGCAUUACUUUGUAACAAAAUAUUAUUUUUCUUAUAUCCUCAGGGUGCAUCUUUAUUUGAUUGUAUCCAGAAAAGCCGUCCAUGAAAGAGAAUAGUGAGUAUCCCGCCGUAUUUUCUACCAAAGUAUCAAUGUGAGGCAACGGAAAAUUAUCCUUUGGACUAGUCUUAUUCAAAUCCUUGUAAUCCACGCACAUCCGUACCUUUCCAUCUUUCUUGGGAACAGGGACGAUGUUAGUACCCAAUCUGAAUAUUUGAUCUCUUGUAAGAACCUAGCAUUGAACUGCCUUUUGACCUCUUCUUUUAUUUUUAGCUCAACAUCAGGUCUCAUCCUCCUUAACUUCUGCUAAAUCGGUUUACAAUCUUCUUUUAUGGGUAGACGAUGUACCACGAUGCUAGUACUUAACCCGAGCAUAUCUUGGUAUGACCAUGCAAAAACAUCUUUGAAUUCUCGGAGUAAUUCAGUGAGGUCUUGCUUUGUCUUUGCGGCGAUUUCAAUUCUAAUUUUUACCUCAUUUCCCUCCUCUCGGCUCAAAAUUUCUAAUGAUUCCCUAUAAGGUAGGAUUUGCUCAUCCUCUUGUUCUACCAUUCUCGACAAGUCUGGAGAUAUACCACAGUCUUCGUCAUUUUCAAAGUCGUGAGAUUCCUCUAAACACAUGUCUUGCUCAAAAAGAAGCUCCAUGUUUGAAACAGCGUCAUUCAUGUCGUUGAUAUCUGAGGACCUAUAAGGGCAUAUCAAAGAAUAUACCAAAAAUAUAUAAAUUUAUGAAUGAUUAUUUAUACAAUAAGGUUACAAAUGAAAGAAUUAUUUGCAGGACAAUCAAUUAGAAAGUGCUUAUUUGUAUAAAAGAAAAAGAAUAAUUGCUCGAAAUGAAUGUAAAGAUGUAUUUCAUUAGAAUAACGAUGUUCAGGCUCAAGCCUUUUUCACAAAAGAUUUCCUGUCAUUUUCAGGCUUAAACAACAAGAAUGUUCUGAGUAUUACUCUGAAUAAGCCCUAAAGACUACAGGGAUUUCUUCCGCAGUCCAGUUGUUUAGCUCGCUUCCAGUUUCGUAAGGACAGAUCUCUAACGAGGCUUUUUUCUCAGAUGUUUCUAUAGCAUUGAUAUGAACAUUUUCUAACAUCUCUCCAAUGUCUUUGCUUUUGGGCACCCCACGUUCAGGAUGAAUAAAUCCACCCAAUACAAAAGAUGUACAUAUGUGGGGAAAGGACAUAGGCUCCCACUUAACCUCUUUUCCGCUUAAACGUGUCCUUCUUCUCUCUUGUCUUUUUUCUACCUCUUUCUUCUUCUGCUUCAUGUCUGGCUUGUAUCCUAACCCAUAACUGUCAAACUUUUCCUUCAGUAUCGGUGCUUCAAUCUUUCCUUGAAGAUACUUUCCCAAUCCUUUUCCGGGUGAAGCCCCUCUUCCAAAAAUCAAUUGCAGCCCCAUCUCUGUGCUCCUGGGUAUUUUCGGUACUGGAUUUCUGCUUCCUUCAGCAAUAAACAUCGCGUUCACAAAUUCUAAUGACUGAAAAGAGCAUUCCACUGCCUCAUCAUCAAUCUCCACAUAAGGUGCUUCGCCAGUUAUUGUUGCGAUGAUAUCUUCCUCUGUACUUAUUGUUAUCACCCGACCCUCUGAUACUAUCUUCACCUUCUGAUGUAGCGAUGAAGGUACUGCCCCAGCUGAGUGUAUCCAUGGCCUUCCCAAUAAACAGUUGUAGGAAGGCUUAAUAUCCAUCACCAAGAAGUCCACAUCAUAAGUAAUUAGGUCAAUCCUUAACGGUACCUCAAUUCUACCCAUAACCUUCUUUUCAGUUCCAUCAAAUGCCCUUACUAUACUCUGGCUCGCUUUCAUGUGGGAAUUGUCCACGUGUAACCAAAUAAGAGUAGAUAAAGGCAAUACGUUUAGUGCAGAUCCGUUAUCAAUCAGGAUCUCCAAGAGUAUGUACCCUUUGCAUCGGGCAGUGACGUGCAGGGCUUUAGUGGAACCCCUUCCUCUAGAUGGUAUUUCGUCAUCACUAAAGAAGAUAAAAUUGUCAGCAUUUAUAUUGUUGACCAACCGAUCCAGCUUGUUCACCGAAAUAUCAUCCGCCACAUAUAUUUCAUUUAGUACUUUCAAUAGUGCAUUUCGAUAUGCUUCUGAACUUAAGAGCAAAGCUAAUAUAGAAAUGCGGGCUGGCUGUUUGCGUAGCUGUUCCACAACGCUAUAUUCGCUGUGUUUCAAAAAAUUCAGAAAUUCUUUUGCCUCAUCCUCUUUUACUGGUUCAUUAACCAAUGACUCAACUUCCACGGUUUUCUCUUUCUUCUGCUCUCUUUUCUAAUUCUCUUCUCUUGACGGUUCUGCCUGUGCGUCAUAUCGCUUCCCAUUACGUGUGUAAGAACCUAUUUCCUGAUUUCUUUCUGCUUCUUUUCUCAAGAUUGUCACGUUACAUCCAUAAUUCCAUGGUACCAUUUUGUCAUCCUUGUAUGGGAAAUUUGAUGGUUUCUGGAUUAUAAUUUUUGGUGUUGUACGGACACUAGACCCAUCGCUCCGAGGGCGUGAAAUGAUGACCACAGGAUGAUUCAUUUCCGUGGUCUUCGCUGCCAACUCUGAUGCGUAAACAUUUCAUUUACCCUCUGCUUCUUCAUAAAAUCUCAUCUCUUUGUUGUCCAUCAUGCUCUGGACCAAAGCCCUGAAUCCCUCACACUCUUGAAUUUCAUGUCCUGCCUCAUGGUGGAAUUCACAAUAGUUUUCAUCUUCACAUCUUUCUUCAUAAUUUGAAAUAACUAGCCCUCUCAUCGCCAUUUGUCUCCAAACCCACUUCAACGGAGUUUUUACUUCAGUGAUGUCAUUCUUGACCUCUUCUCCCCUACUUUCGCUCAUCAAAUUCACUCCCUUAUCAGUAUGAUUGGGUAGCGAAUUUUCUGCAUUAGGUGAGUCAUCAAACUUAACAACACCCAUGCUAAUAAACUUUUCGACUAGCUUCUUGAAAGCAGUGCAGUUUUUUAUUGAGUGCCCUGUAAUUCCGGCAUGGUAAUCACAUUGGGCGCUCGCAUCGUACCACUUAGGAUACGGGGGUUGCAAAGCGGUCAAGUAAUGGGGAGAAACUACGUGUGUGUUAAACAAAUUCUGAUAUAGCUCUUUGUAUGACAUCGGAAUUGGUGUGAACUGGGGCUUCUCAGUACCCUGCCUCACACCAGAUUCUUGUCUCGUUGAACCCUGUUGACCCGCAAUCACCUUUCUCGGCUGGUUCACCAUAAUUGACUUGUUGUAUGCAUUUAUAUUGCUCACUUCAUUUUCUUUUCUUCUCGAGGCUGACCUUUUAUUGCUUUUUCCUGCUUCUAUUUUCCCGUUUCUUAUGGCAUUCUCAAUCAUUUUACCAUUCAUUACUAUAUCUGAGAAACUUUUGGUUGCACUUCCUAGCAUGUGCAUAAUGAACGGGGCUCUUAAGGUAUUGAUAAAGAGUAUUGUGGCCUCUCAUUCUAAGAGCGGUAGUUGGACUUGGAUGGCAAUUUCCCUCCAUCUUUAUGCGUACUGUCUGAAACUCUCACUUGGUUUCUUCUCCAUGUUUUGUAGUGUAAUUCUAUCGGGGGUCAUAUCCGUUACAUGGCUGUACUGCUUCAUGAAUGCCUGUGCUAGGUCCCUCUAUGAACCAAUCUUGGUACAACUCAAUUGAUUGUACCAUUUAGACGCUGCCCCUACUAAAAUGUCUUAAAAACAGUGGAUUAACAGCUGAUCGUUAUUGACGUAGCCAGUCAUCCUUCUACAGAACAUAGUGAUGUGGGCCUCGGGGCAACUAGUUCCAUUAUAUUUCUCAAAUUCAGGCAUCUUGAAUUUAGGAGGUAGUACCAAAUCUGGGACCAAGCUUAGAUCUUUGGCGUCGAUUCCCUGAUUACUAUCAGCGCUCUCCAAGGCUUUGAACUUUUCUUCCAACCACCUAUACCUAUCCUCCCAUUGUUUUGGUAAUUCUGCGCUUGCUUUUCCUUCUUCAGCUGUUUCAUCAAAAUUCGGAAUAGUGGGAUUGAUUAGGUUUUCUCCCAGGUUUAAACUCGAUUGUCCUUGAAAAUUUGUGGCACCAGUUUGUAAUUGUUGCGGCCUAAUUGUGACGGACGGUCCUCUUUGGUACACUUCAGUUUGGGUUCAUGCAUUUGGUGGCGUGAAACCCGGAGGAUACAAUGGAUCCUCGCUACCCUCUCCAUGAUCGGCCAUAGGGCCCUUUCCUUUAUCUACUCCUCCCGUCAAUAGAUGGGUCAAUUCAGCCAUAGCAUCCUUUUGAGAUUUAAUCAACUUUUCUAUCAUGUCUUCUUGAAUUUUAUCCAAUCGCUCUUGCAUUUAUGCUUGUAAUCGUUCUUGCAUAUCCCACUACAUUUAUUCCAGUUUCUCUAGUCUUUGGUCCAUUUCUUUAGUUUUUUGUCGAGUACCGUAUUGAUGCUUAAUGGGUGAGCUUUUGUUGGUUUCCAGGUUAAUUGUAAUAAUUUAACCAAUUAGGGUCUUUUGGUGGACUUUAAUACAUAUGAUGCAAUGUGAUGCAAUGCAUGAAUGCAAAAAGGUGUCGAUUCUGAUUUAAUUUCAUUUAGAAAGCUUCAUUUGGAUAACAGCAUUCUUUACAUAAAAUAGAUUACAUAUACAAUUUUGCCCUGAUGCUCAGAAUUUUAAUCUUUUUAAGCAGCGAAGCAAGCUCUCUUCCCCGGUCUGAUUUCAGCUCGUACUUUACGCUCAAAGUAUCAGCUUAUAUUGCUAGGGUCUACAAGUAAUCGGCUACCUCCCGAAUCUGGGUCACAGCUUCUCCCAUGACAUGAUCUCUGUCUCUAACUUGGCUUUGAUAAUAAUAGAGCUGUUCUUUCUGACGUUCUUCAUUUUCUUUAAAAAAUGCAAUCCGCGUAUCACAAUCUUGUAGCCUCGCAUCUAACUCUUCCACUCUUUUCUUUGUUUCUUCAAUCUUGUUCAAGCUCGCUCUUAAUUCCAUCGCGGUAUUACGAUUUCGGUAAUGAUGAAGAGACAUUUCAAGUUCAGCUAUUCGUGCCUUUAAUUCAUCUGUCACACCCGGCUUUCUAACAGAAUCCUCUCCAGGGUCUGGUUUUGUAUUUGAGUCUCUUGCCAUUUCUUUUCCCAUCCAUCAGCCUUGUCUCUUUCUUCUUGGAUUUCUAGUCGCCAUUACUCUGAAGUCUUUCCCAGCCCCGCGGUUUUCAUUGAUACCCGUAACUUUUUGUAGUCUGUCUUUAAGCUAUCCAGAUCCUCUUCUACUUUAUUAUUCCCUUUCUUUAAUUUUUCGGCCUCUAACUUUUGGAUGUCCACGUCUAGUCUCAAAUGCAUCUUCUCUUCUUCCAACCGCUCUAUUUUUUUUUGAGUUAUGAAUUCCUCUUUUCGAAAUCUUGUUUUAUAAUCUCCAACUCUGAUGGGACUACUUGUAGGUACUCUUCCAUUGGUCGAACACCCUCCAAGUUUAACUCUGGAAUGUUAUCAUUAAUUCUCUUAUUUCGCCAUUCACUGUAUUCUAGAGUUGUCAUUGAACCCACAGCUAACCUUUUCAUCCUAUGAACCUGAUUCCAAGCCUGAAAAAUUUCUUUCACCCUUCUCUUGUAAUUGUCUCCCCAGUACGAGAACUCACAUUAAGCUAAACCUUGCGUUGUCGGCACAAACUGUCUUGAAUUAUAUUGCCUUAGGACCAACAAAGGUGCAUACCCAACGACUCCCUAAAUCUCUAGCAACGGGACCCAGUCAAAGCUUCCACAACGGUAAAGAAUUUCAUUAGGAAUCAACCAGGGAGCUCUCCAUUCCACAUCAUCAUCUUGAAGAUUUUGCAGGAUUGCUGUCCAAUUUUCUUCUGAUAUGUCGUCCCUUCUUGGCGUAGCCACUAUCUCUUUUAACGGGGAGUAAUGCCCAGAGAAAAUUCGAUACGAAACUUUGUCGACCUUCUAGAAAUGACUACGGAACCAGGCUAACAAUAAUUGCACACAACCUAUGAAUCUGCCUUCCCCAGCUCGCCUACACGCAUUCAGAGAUCUAAACGUUUCAGCUAAAAUCGCAGGAACAGGCGUGACCCCUUUACUCAACCGAUCAAAGAGAUAUGAAACCGCCUCGCCAACAUGCCCCAGCGCUCUAGGGAAGAUCACUAACCCGUAGAUACUCAAAGCAAACACGUCGACCUUCUUUUUCCCAUCCGGAUGCGCUAUAAUCAAGUCCCACAAAUUUUUCCAUGGAAUACAUUUACACUCCCCUUUCUGCUUGAUCCUGGUCGUAAUCCACUGCUCGCUCAUGCCAGUAAUAUUCAUCAGCUUCUUCCAAAAUGUCGGGACGUACGCGGCUCUAGAAUAUGCUUUAUCUACCUGAAGCCUGGGACAAUGUAGUAAAGCUGUAUAUUCCUCUACUGUAGGCACCAGAUCUACUUUGCCAAAAGUGAAACAACUAUAUGCAGGAUUCCAAUAUUGAGCAAGAGCCCGAAACAAUCGCUCAUCUACCCUGACAUCAAGCAAAUACGGCAAAUCUCCAUAAUUGGAAUAGAACAACUGCUUGGUCUCAUCAUUCCACUUAUCCCAUAUUUCUGUCAACUCCUGAAGGCUAUUUUGCGUCACGCUAAUACGAGUGUUGUCCCACAGCUCUGACACAUAAUCUUUAGCUAGACUGUCUCCCUUUUCCAAUUGCACAUUCUCUGACUAUAUACGGACCAUGGCAUUGUCUUCCACCUUAUCAAGAAAGUCGUUCUCCAUGACAAACUUUCUAAUUUUAACAACCGAACUUGAAUCGACACUCUUUUGAAUAUGAAAUGACAUGCAAACAUAUCAAUAAAACACCAUAAGUCAGUAUAACAUAUCAAUAAAAUUGGCAACAAAAUUAAGAGAAACAAGCAUUUACAUGAGCAAUCCUUAGAGUUUGGGGAAUUAUACCUAAGCUGGAUUCCUAGGCUAUCUAUAUGCGGUUUGGUUCUAAAUUCGAGGUACCCGAACCAGCAGAUUCCUCAGUCUUCACCUAUUAUAGACUCAUACAGACCAAGUUCGGUUCAGGGGAAUAUAUUUCCCUAUGGCUGCACGGAGAUGAAAAUCUCACGAAGACAUAGGUACGGAUGUACUCCGAAAGUGAUCCACUAUCCUGCACGGAGGUGAAAACCUCACGAAGGAGUAGCUUCUCACUCCCACUUAAAAAGGGUAAGACUAAAUAGUCUUUAUGCAAUAUGAUGACAAGUUAUAAAACACAAUAAUCAUACAAACAUAUGCAAAGAAAAUAUCAUAAAAUUAAAUAUUUAAAAUUUGACAAUAAGACAAAAACAAUCAAUUUUACGGCCUGACUCUCUUGGUGUCCCCAGCGGAGUCGCCAAGCUGUCGAAACCAUUUUUAAAUUUUGAAAAAACGGAUAUCGACCUUUUUUAAAAAGAAAACUCUGGGACUCGCCACCGAUCUUUUAUUAAGGUGUGAUCGGUUCACCAUUUAAAAUAAAUUUUAGGUCUGCGAAAUUUUAAGAAAACAGGUUCGGGGGUCAGUUACGUACUAGGAAGGGCUAGCACCCUCGUGAUGCCCAAAAUUGGUACCGAAUUGAUUAUUUAAUGCCUUAGUGUCGAGAAUUUGAAAAGAUUUUAAAAUACGAUCUUUGAAGUUUAAAUUUGCGUAAAACAAAAAUGAAUAAUAAGAUGGACUCAUUUUGGAGUAAUAAAUUGCUACACUCAGUGAGUUAGGGUGCAACAAUUCGAUCUUUUAGAAUUAAAUGUAUACCCGUUUUAAGAAAAUCUUGAAUUCGCAGAAGGGUAUUUGAUGAUUUAAAUCGAUCGAGAAAUCCGAACCCAAUAAGUUAGGGAUCAAUUUCCCGAAUUUUUUAAACAUCAAACAUUACCUCCACAUUUAAAAAAAACUUUAAUUCAAGGUAGCAAAGCUGUCAGAUCCAGUGAGUUAGGGUCCAGGCUUCGAAAUCUCGAAAAAAUUAUUUGAAAACUAUGAUUUUAUUUUAAAGGCGUUAUUUACCUAAAUUCGACGAAAAAAAAUAAAGCCCAGUAAGUUAGGGCACAAUUUUCUCGAAAAUCAUCGGAUGUAGGGUAUUCUGAAAACUUAAAAAAAAUUAUUUUAAUACAUUAGUAAAAUGUAGUCUCUUAACAAUAUAACAUGGUUAGAUGUUUUCAUAAAACGCGAAAGGGAAAUUCAAAGACAAAAUAUACAUUAAUGAACGAUAAGCAACCAAUGAACUAACAUGAACGAGCAUGACAAUAAUAGUUUCAAACAUACAUCACAUAAAUAUUAACAUUAGUUAACAAGAGGAGGUUAAUUAAAAUUAAAGCAAAAUCACAUAACUCAAAUGAAACAUAUAAGCUUGAACCUAAUUUAGGGAAUGAAUAAACUAGAGAGUUGAAACAAACUUGAAUAACUUAACAUGUAAAAAAAUGAUUGUUUAAAAAUGUUUGAGGAAAAUAAAAUCUAUUUGAUAGUAUGAAAUUACUAUGGGUUAUAUACGUACGUAGGUAUACAUAUAUAUGAUGAAAAUAAUCAUAGAAUAAGUAAAUAUAUUAUUAUUACAAUAAGGUAUUAUUUGAAAGUGUAUGUUUAUAAAUCUAAAAUAUAAUGAAUGAAUUUACAUAAAAAACCUAAAAUGAAAUAAAUUUAUGAAAUAUUAAUAAUAAAAGUAAUAUGUCAUAAGAAAUGGCUAAUACAUAUAGAUCUUUUUUUUUUUAAAGAAAACUAAAGGAUGCAUGUAAAAUAAAAAUAAAUUAAUGCGUAUAUACGAAAGCAAAUAAGUAUGAAAUAUAACAUCAAACAUAAUGAUGAUAAAUGCAUAUAGUAUAAUACUACUACUAAUAAUAAUAAAUAGAAGAAUAAUAAAAAGGGGUAAAUCACAAUCAAAAUCAAAUCAUCAGGAAAUAAAUGAAAUAUGAAUAAAACGGAGGACCCUACUGCAGUGUGCGAAUUAUAUGGGGGCCGAUUGGGAAAUAUCCCACUUCCCCAAAACGCAACACUUCAUAGUAGGUUAAAAUGGAACGAAAACAAAAUGUGUGGGUUAAAUCAGAGAAGGAAAAGGGACUUGAUUCAAAAGAAAACAGAAAAGGGGAGGGCUGGCCGCGCAAAUAUCCCUCCCUACACCAGAAUGCGCGGGUCAAGCUACGCCUGGGUCAGGUCAUCGGGUCGAGAGCAGGCCAUCUGGCAAUACAAUGCCGUUUUGGGAGCCACUGUUCAGGCCCCAAACGGCACCAUUUAAACCCCCUUAAAAUAGAGAAAUAAAGAAACCCUAAUGGGUUAUUCAGCUACCCUAAAGAAUAACGAAAAAGAAAGAAAACAAGCUUCUCCUCUCUCUUUUUUUUACGCCGUUCUCGGGCUAAACCAUCCACGGGUCCUCCGGUACCUCGACUCCGACGAGAACGACUAUGGGAUCACUGAGGUAAGUAUUCACUCCUUCUUAACUUGUUUUCAUUAUUUGUUAAAAGAAAGUAAAAAAGAACGAAAUCGAGAAAGAAAACAAUAAAAGUGCCGGAUCUACCUUUAAAGAAAACGAGUUUAGAGAAAAGUUCCCUUUUGUAUUCAAUAUUUGUAUGCUUUUUUUGUAUAUUCGAUCGUCCCCCUUUUUUACAAUGUUCUUUGGUCUUUUUAUAGUGUCUAUUUACAAUAAAAAGAAAAUAAAAUUCGAAAUAAAAAUCCACCAAUCGCCCUCGCUCUGCCUUUUUAUUUUUUUCUGUGCCCCUUUUUCGUUUUGUGGUCUGUUUUCUGCUGUGGUUGCUCGUCUUUGGCAGGUACUGUGUGUAGAGGUUGCGGAUGUGGCAUGUACGGAGGCGAAGGCGUGCGUACGAGGCUCGUGUGAGCUGUGCUACGUACGUGCGAGGGGACGUCUGUUGCGGCGCUGGUUGGGGCUGAUGCUAGGGUUUCCUCUUCUAUUGUAAUCGGGUCUGGGCUAGGUUGAUUUGGGCUUGUUAUAUUGGGUUUAGUUUGUAUUUCGGGCCUUUGUAUUAUUUUGGUAACUGAUCUGGGCCAAUUUGUAAAUGGACCUUUUCGAACUGAAUUUAAUAUUUUUCCUUUUUUGUUUUGAUUUUUUUGGUUUUUUUGAAUGGGCCCCGGGCAAAUUGGGCCUGUUACAACACUAUCCCUCGGACUUCUCGUAUAUGAAAUAAGCUAACUUUUGGUA